UUGUAUGGAGCGGAGUGUUGGCCAGUCAAGAACACACACGUUCAUAAAAUGCAUGUUGCGGAGAUGAGGAUGUUGAGAUGGAUGUGUGGGAACACUAGGAGCGACAAGAUUAGGAAUGAGGUUAUCCGGGAGAAGGUGGGAGUGGCCUCUGUGGUGGACAAGUUGAGGGAAGCGAGACUGAGAUGGUUUGGACAUGUAAAAAGGCGGAGCGCAGACGCCCCAGUGAGGAGGUGCGAGGUAAUGGUGGUAGAGGGUACGCGGAGGGGUAGAGGUAGGCCCAAGAAGUAUUGGGAGGAGGUGAUUAGACAAGACUUGGCUAUGCUUCACAUUACCGAGGACAUGACUCUAGAUAGGAAGGAGUGGAGGUCGCGUAUUAAGGUUGAAGGUUAGUAGGGUUAGCGUGUUGUCUUCCCUUGCAAAGGUAUGGGUUGUUAGCGUUUGGAGUAGACCUAGCCUUUUGUUGUUUACUGCGUUUCACGCAUCGCAUUACUUUCUUGUUGUUAUUGUCUCAUCUGUUGAUUAUACGCUCUCUUUUGUAUUGGCUGUUAUGUUUUAUAUAUAUCUCUCCUGUCAUUUAGAUUUGUUGUUCUUGAGCUGAGGGUCUCCCGGAAACAGCCUCUCUACCUCCACGAGGUAGUGGCAAGGUCUGCGUACACUUUACCCUCCCCAGACCCCACCUAGUGGGAUUUCACUGGGCAUGUUGUUGUUGUAAUGUAUGUGAAAUUGGUAUGCUUUAUUUUCUGUGCACUACUUUUCCCUGAGCUCCUUGACUUUGUAUAGUGUUGAAGACAUUCUUCAAGUUCUCAUUGUCUUCAUAGUGGAGUCUUUGGAGUUGAAUUUUGCACUUCUAUUUCCAGAGAGGCACACACUUCUUCGUGUCUUGCCUGUCCUUGUUGUCCUAGCAGCAUCAUCAGAGAAAGAUAGUGAAUCAUUGUACAAAAGGGUGAAAAUCAACAGACUUAUUAACAUAUUUAAGGUGUGUUCAUUUGUUCUUAUGCAAAUUUUGAACUGAACCUUUGAAUGCAGUAAUCUUUUUUUCAUGUUCUGUUUCUUAUUAUGAUAUGAACUUUAAUACUGUGUACUUUCGAGACUCUGGAAAAUGUCCUUAUUACCUUUCUUUUUAUGCAGAAUGAUCCUGUGGUACCUGCUUUCCCAGAUCUUCACCUGUCUCCUGCUGCGAUUUUAAAAGAGUUAUCGACAUACUUCCCUAAAUUUUCUGCACAAACUCGGCUUCUCACUCUUCCAGCACCUCAUGAGCUGCCACUGCGUGAGGCACAAGAAUAUCCUUUCUUUGUUUCUAUCCUUUAAUCUUCCUUUGUUGCUUUUGAUGCUGUACAAUUUUGGGUUCAUGCGAGUCAGAUUUGAUUUUCCGAAAUUUACUUCUUAUUACUGCCAAUAACUUUUUUUUUUUUUUUUGAUAACCGAGAAAUCCGUCUGUGACCCGCCCUUUGGACCAAUCACAGCCUUCUAAAACUCGGUGGAUAAUGGGCCCGCCCCCUCUACCCUUCUCCACUUAAAUACCGGGCUUCGCUUUGCAUGGUGUGGGGCUUGAACCUGCGACCUAAGCCACAAAUCCUCCACCUUUUGCCACUUGAGCUAGGCCUUGGGGGCUUAUUACUGCCAAUAACUUUUUUUUUUUUUUUUUUUUUGAUAACCGAGAGAUCCGUCUGUGACCCGCCCUUUGGACCAAUCACAGCCUUCUAAAACUCGGUGGAUAAUGGGCCCGCCCCUCUACCCUUCUCCACUUAAAUACCGGGCUUCGCUUUGCAUGGUGUGGGGCUUGAACCUGCGACCUAAGCCACAAAUCCUCCACCUUUUGCCACUUGAGCUAGGCCUUGGGGGCUUAUUACUGCCAAUAACUUGUAAACAGAAUAGAACUUCAGUGCCGGCGCCUUUUCUUUUCGUAUUCCAAUUGAAUGUUAUCAACCGAAAAUCUAUUGUUUUUUUUUGUAGGGAAUAGUUAAAGAAAGCUUGCAAUGUCCGGUUCCUUCUUUUUAUUUUAACUGUUCCCUCUCUUCUUCACCAACAGUCCCAAAUUAUUACUUUUAUCUAUAAACUUUAUCACUUUGAAGCUCGACAGCCAAGGAGAAUAUUAUUCUAAUUUAAAGUGGUUCACGUUGUACUCAUUUCUUGAAGCUCCCCCCUCCUCUCUCUCUCUUUUAAUAGUAGUAGUUUGAAUCCAUGAAACUUAUUUGGCCUUCGAAUGAAGAUAUUGUUUGUUUUUUAGUACUUAAUUACAGUAAGCCGUUUUAAAAAUGUUUUUACUAGAGAAGCAAGUUACAAUUUUUUUGUAAAAUAUUAGGCAGUUCACAUUCAGUUUUAUUCUGAGUUUAAAUGCUUUAGUUCAUCGAAAAGUACAUGUUAUAUAUAGGAGUUUAGUUUGUAUUUUUAGCUUAUAAGUUAUAUCUCAAUAUACUUUCUAUGUGUUUCUUCUGUUUUGUCUAAUAAACUUCUUGUACUAUCCACUAGAAAAUUUUCAAGGGAUUACUUUAAGUAAUUUCUUAACGCCAUUUACUUAUCAGAGGCAAUAUCUGAUUGUCAACCAUAUUGGGGCGAUCCGUGCUGAGCAUGAUGACUUCACUGUUCGUUUUGCUUCAGCCAUGAGUCAGGUUACUCUCUCUCUCUCUCUAUAUAUAUAUAUAUAUAUAAAGCCGUCUCAUUUACAAAAUCAUAGAACCACACACACAUUGAAAACAAGAGAGGAUAACCUCUUAGGAUACCUGCUUUUCUCUUUUGAUUAAUUGAAUUCUCUUAGUUAUCAAAAGUUAUAUUAUUAUAUUUGAGACUUCGUUGAUAGUUUUGUGUAAUGGUUAUACCCAAAAGUUUAUUGUGGUUAUUCUGAAAUUCUAAUAAUUAGCAUGUCAAAACUUCAUUAUCACUUGUUUUAACUAUUUCGAGUUAGAAAUUAAAACUAUUAUAUGUAAUAUACUCCCUCCAUUUCAAUUUGUUUGUCUAGUUUUGACUUAGCACGAUAUUUAAGAAAGUACGGAAGAUUUUUGAAUCUUAUAGUUCUAAACUAAAGAUAUGUAGAAUAUGCCAAAAUGUCCUUUAAUCUUGUGGUCAACAUGCCAUGUGGAAAGUUGAAAUUAAAAAGUUGCCAAAAAAGGAAAGAGACAUUCUUUUUGAAAUGGACUAAAAAGGAAAGUAAGACGAACAAACUGGUUUGGAGGGAGUAACUAAGAAGAGUUUGAAUAUUAUGGUAAUUAUAUAUUUUACAUAUAUGACUUUUGAUGCUACAAAAUAGAUUCAGAAUUAAAAUCUCAAAAAGAAAUACUCAUACCUAUGUACCACUCAGUUAUCUGCAUAAGAAAAAUAAGCUCAACAUAACUUAUGCAGCGUCUGGUUGGCAGUAUUUAACUGUUCAUUAUUAAUUAUCCUCAUGACUUGUGCGAGAAUUAUGCGGGAUUGAAUAUGGAAUAAGAAAGCAGGUGUCACCAAUGCACGGAUGAGUAUUUACAGGAAAAAUUCCCUUUAUAUUAGAUAGUCCCUGCAUAGAAUAACCCUCAGGGGUUGGCCUGCUGGCAAUUGACUUGAGCCUUGGGGUUUGCUCCCUUUCAAGGUCUCAAGUUCGAAACCCACUGGGUGCAAACAAUUUCUGAGGGCCAUCGGACUGGGUAAAACCUGAAUUAACCGUGGUGCACUUGCGGGAAACUCCUUGCCGAGGGCCUGUGCACCCCCGGGAUUAGUCGGGGCUCAAAGAGACUCGGACACCCGGUGCAAAUCAAAAAAAAAAGAAAUACUAAUUAAGAUUCACACUUCACAGUUAAAAAAACUUAACAAGAUUGAUUUCAAAUCUCUCUAUAAUAGCAUCCCAUAUUUCUUGGCUACGAUUCCCAAGCUAUGAACUAGAUCCAAAACCAACAUCCAUUUUCCGGUGGUCCUUCUGAAUAGUUCUGAUCACCGGGAACCUCCACCCUCACCUUCCCUCCCUCAUUUCCUUAAACCCUCCUCCGAUCAAUGGAGGACUGUAUUUACUUUGCAGUAGGUUUUAAAUCCUUCGAUCUCGAGAGAAUCAAAGGAGCGACGGGCGACUGGUACGAAUGGACUGAGAGGAGUAAAAGAAACAUCACUAGAACUUCUUUCAACAAGGAAUCAAUGAUUUGGAUCACUAAGGUCAUGUGGGAAGCUUCAAAGACGAAAGGAAAUGUGGUGAAGAGAUGGAGGAGACUAGAACCUCUAUCAGAAAUAUAUUGUGCUAGGAAUUUCAACAAAUAUGGCAGAUAUCUGAGUUUGAUAAACAUAAGGGGAAGAAGGAGGUCCGUUAUCAUAAUCCUGGAGUUGACUGUCACGCCCCGAGCUACCCCCGAGACGCGGACACGGGACCUAGAACCACAAGUGAUCCCAAGCUAACCCUGCUGGCAUAAUCUUAGCAUACUAUAAUUAACAUGAAUAAAAAUAACUGAUGCGGAAACUAAAAUCAUAAAUAAAGAAAAGAUGGGGAAUACCCAUAUACUAUAAUUGAGAGAGUUUAAUACAAAAGAUAUUAACUCAUACUAGACUGAAACUAACUAUGUCUGAAAGUAAGCCUCUAAACUGACUAGAAAUGUUGGGACAUGCCCCAACUAGAUCUAGCAAAACUGAAACUAAAAACUGAAAGCAGUAAGGAUAUCAUGUCUCUGGUCCUCGGAGGAUGAGGACUCACCACUACUAAUCUGCUGAGCUGAAAAUCGGAAAACGAUCUAAGUGCAAUCUGGAUGCUGAGAGUCUGAACCUACAUCACAAGAAGAUGUAGCGCAAAAAUAUGCGUCAGUACUGAAAAGUACCGAGCAUGAGGAUUGAGUAUCGCUGAAAUACAUAUAUAACUGGCCAAGCAAAAAGCAAUGACAUAUAUAUGGAUAUGAUAGAAUGCCGAAAAAUACUAAACAUGGUCAAUGCAAAUGGAGUCUGAUUGAUAUGUGGGAGCUACUAAUCACCGAUAAUAAAACCACACGAGCUGAAUGUGGAGUCCGAUGUAUACGCCCCAUCGAGAGGACCCAAUAUACCCUGCCAGAGGUAUAAAGGCAUGCUGGCAUGAUCACUAAUCUGUUGCCCAUGGAAGGGACUUACAACCUACUUGGCUAGUAGUUCUGGGACUAUUUGGGUACGCUAAACCCCAGUCCAACUCGGUAUUAUGCUAGUCCCAAUGAAUUUAGUAGUAAAUUGAUUAUGACUGAUUUUCUGUAAUUGUUAUGGAUAGCUCAAAACUAGACAUGCAAACUGAACGCAACAAUUUAAACUGACAUUGAUGCAUAAUACUGAAGCAUAUAUAACUGAUUUCUGAUAAUGUCUGACCUAACACAUGUAAUUCAAGAACUAAAGAAAUACAUAGCUAGGGUUCUGACAUUCAUACGAUAAUCUGAAGAAGACGGGACAUGCUGAUUUGGAACAUUAAAACAUAGCUAAAACGUGACAUGCUGUUUGGACGUUAGAACAUAUAGUUAAAAACGUGAUUUCUAAAUCGGAAUGUUUUGAAAACAGUCUCUUUAUGAAAAUUGGCUGUAACUUUAGAAACUACCAGGGUUCAUUCAUAAUUAUUGAAAAACGAUCAAUAUUUGGAUCAUUCUAAUAUUUAAAACCCAAAAUCAAGAAACGUUCAAGAACCCUAAUUUCGUUCAUAGCAUGGAAUCAAGAAUCGUCUAAAUUCUAGGGAUCUAACGGCGAAAGGGACCCAUUAAUGAAAUCCAACAUACCUGGUGACAAAAUUUCCACGAAAAACUAUCAACUAGGGCUAGACUUGACUUUUCCGGCGACUUUCUAGCGUUUUCCGGAGGCGGCUAGGGUUUAGCUAGGGUUUCGGCCGCCCCUCUCUCUACUCUCUUCUUUUCUUUUGUUUUAGUUAAUUAAAUGACUUAGGUAAGUUCUAGUUAGGUUUCUAGGAUUUUAAAUGACCAACUAAAACCCUUUUAAUUUAGGAAUUAAAAGAAGAGUGGGAAAAGACAAAAACACCCUGGACUUAAAAGCGGUCCAAAUCCUGAAUCGGAUUGGGCACCUGCCAAAUCUGAAAAUUCUGCAAAUUUUUCCUUCACGAAUCUGGGGUGUUACAUUGACUUUGAACUCAGGAUGGGAAAACAUAGCAGACAAAAUUGGGAGAUUCCUUUCUAGUCAUAGAAAGGAGGUGGAAAGUACAAAGCAGAGGUUGGUAGACAACAAUUUCCCCUUUGCAGAGGCAGUGAGGAGCAUUAAAUGGACUAAUAGAAAAGGAGACGGAGUUGAUGCCCAAGCAACAUUAAUGAUGGAAGAGGGAAUCAUUUGCAUUAAUGAAUCUUCAAACACCCACAAUGAAGUUCUGCAGAGAAGUCUAGUUGGAGAUUUUUGAAGGAAGGAAUAAUGUACUGCCAAACCUAGCACAAGUGAGAAGCUGGGCAAACAAGUUUUGGAGACAAAGCCAUGGACUAAACAUUUAUGAGGUGGGAGUUGGAAAAUUCUUGUUUGAGUUUGCGAUGAAAACCACGGCAGAACAGGUGAUUGCAGGUGAGUGUAUUUGGAACAACUCGAGGGUCCAGUUAGAGUGGUGGUCCCCAACUUUAGCGGCCACAAAUAUGGAGAAUAAACCAACAUCGACCUGGACCAAGAUUGUAGGCCUUUCCCCUUCCCCUACAUCUCUGGUCAGAGACUGUUUUCAAGGCCAUCGAAGAUCUCUGUGGAGGUUGGAUUGAAACUGAAGAAGAGACACAACUACAGAAUCAUCUCAAAUGGGCUCGAAUCAAAGUGUAAGGCGAUGGGUCAAGGAUCCCGAAGGAGGUGACCAUUAUCAAUGCUGGAAUCUCCUUUUCCAUGCAACUGUGGACAGAAAUUCCGGUGAGGUUCACCAUAAUAGAAGAGGGAAAGGUGAAACCCAUUACCCAGCAGAUAUCGAGGAUUUAUCUAGAGGAUAAAAGAGGGGAAAGUUGUGGUGUCAGCAGGAGACCACUUGGGGAGUGGACCCACUUUGAAUUCAAAAAAAUUGGGCCAGGAACCCUCAAACGCAGCCCCAAUAGCCCAAAAGCAUCUAGACAUUACAAAUCCUCCUGUGAGUUCUAAAAGGCCCAUGAGCUUUAACGAACCCUCACGUGACAAUCACAUGGCAGAAAAAAAAGGCCUCACAGAAAUAAAGACCUGGCAACUAAAUUUCUGGAAGCCUUCAGGAACUGGGAAACAAACACGGCGAAAGAAUCAAGCAUGGUGACGCAAGUCGAUGGGGGAGAGAGAAUUUUAUCUUGCAUCCAAACAGAACCAGUGAUGAUGGGUACACAACAAACUUCUCAUGAAAAAGAAGGAGGGGAGACAAACGAUACACAAUCAACAGAACAAGACAUGCAACUUCAACAUAUUCACGAUGCAGAACCAGUCAACAUUCAGCUUCCAAAUUCCCAAGAAGACUGCGAAACAUAAGCUUCAAAUUGGGUGAAUUCUCAUAUCCUAGAUUUGAGCAACACAUAUGGGGUGGCUUUCGAAGGAUUCGAAAGAGAAACCAUAGCUUUGUUGAUGAAGAUUAAUGAGAGGAAAACACAGCUUGAUAAGAAGGGGAAGGGCAAGGCAGUCACUACUCCAAAAAGCAGUGGUAUUGGAAAGAAUGAACUGAAAAACUUAAAAUCCAGCCUAAAUGAAGAGGUGGAAGGAAGCAGAAGUAGAGGGAGGAAUCUAAGUCUAACUUAUAAAUGAAAGUAAACUUGAUUACCUGGAAUGUAAGGGGUCUGAACAAUCAGAAUAAGAGAACUAUGGUGAAGAGUCUAAUGAAAAAGUGGAAGGCAGAUGUUUAUUGUUUACAGGAAACAAAGAUUAGCAAGGACUUAGAAGCAAUGGCCAAACAACUAUGGUCAUGCGGGUACUUGGAAGCUGAAGGCAGUUGUGGGGGGAUCUUGUUGCUGUGGGAUAGUAGAAUCUGGAGUGGGACCCUUGUUGAAACUGGUCAAUACUCCAUUACUUAUGAGUUUGGAUCAACUCAAAUUUUUUUUACCUGGUAUCUCACUGGAGUGUAUGCUCCUCAUACCAAAAUUGAGAAGUUGAUAUGCUGGGAAGAAUUGGCUGCAGUCAGGACUUUAUGUGAAGGUCCAUGGAUCACAUGUGGAGAUUUCAAUACCAAUAGAACUAUGGGAGAAAGAAGAGGAGGUAACAGAAUCUCAUAUGUUAUGUCUGACUUCUCAAGGUGGAUAGAGGAGAUGGAGCUACAUGAUCCUCAUUUAAAUGGUGGAAAGUUCUCCUGGUUUAGAGGCAUCAAUCAUCCUAGUGUAGCUAGACUAGACAGAUUCUUGUACUCGAUGGAAUGGGAAGAAAAAUUCAAAAACAUCAGGCAAAAGUUACUACCUAGAGUGCUAUCUGACCACUGUCCUAUCUUGUUAGAAAGUUUGUAACUGGGAGCAGAAAAGGUCAAACUUUAAGUUUGAGAAUUGGUGGCUUAAGGUGGAGGGUUUCACCAACUUGAUUCAGAGCUGGUGGAAUGAAUUUCUAGUGGAAGGUUGUCCUGAUUACAUUUUGAAUAUUAAACUAAGAAUGCUAAAGCAGAAACUUAAGGAGUGGAGCAAGUCAAAUUUUGGGGAGCUUACUAGUAAGAAAAAUAGCUUACUGGAGGAACUGGAAGAAAUUGAUUUGAUACAAGAAACUAGGGAAUUGACCGAAGAUGAAGUGGUAAUAAGAGCCACCAUAGUAGUGGAGCUGGAAGAGUUGGCAAAAAAUGAAGAACUGAAAUGGAGAAAAAAAUCAAGGGUUUUAUGGCUGAAACAAGGAGAUAAUAACACAAGGUUCUUUCAGAGAAUGGCAACAGCACACAGAAGGAUCAACACAAUUGAUAGAUUGAUAGACAGAGGAGAGGUAGUAGAAGACCCUGUAGAGAUCAGGAACACCAUGAUUAACUUCUACAAAGAACUCUACACUGAAUCUGAGGAGUGGAGACCCAGUUUUGAUCUUAUGGAAUGUCCAACUAUUUCUCAGGAAGAAAAUGAUUGGAUGCAAAGACCAUUUACUGAAUCUGAGGUCUUGCAAUGCCUACAACUUUGUGAUGGAGAUAAAGCUCCAGGUCUAGAUGGCUACACAAUGAGUUUCUUUAAAUCUUGUUGGGGAAUUGUAAAAGAGGAUCUGAUGCUGACAAUUCAAAAUUUCCAUCAAAAUGAAAUUUUUGAAAAGUCUUUCAAUGCCACCUUCCUAGCACUGAUUCCUAAAAAACUUGGAGCAGAAGAAUUGAAAGAUUUCAGGCCUAUUAGCUUGAUAGGAGGAGUCUACAAGAUCAUUUCCAAACUGAUUACUGAGGUUGAAGACAGUAAUGGGGAAGCUGGUCGAUGUACACCAAAUGUCCUUUCUGAAAGGAAGGCAAAUCAUGGAUGCUGCACUAAUUGCUAAUGAGUUGGUAGACUCCAGAGUUAAGCAAAAAAUUCCUGGAAUUUUAUGUAAGUUGGACAUAGAGAAGGCCUAUGAUCAUGUCAAUUGGUCUUUUCUGCUGAAGGUUUUAAAGGACAUGGGAUUUGGGAGGAAAUUGCUCAAUUGGAUAAAGUUCUGCAUAUCCACUGUUAAAUUCUCCCUAAUCAUAAAUGGAAACUCUGAAGGUUUUUUCCAAUCACAAAGAGGUUUGAGACAAGGUGACCCUCUGUCACCUUUUCUUUUCUUGCUAGUCAUGGAAGACCUCAAUCACAUGAUCAGAAAAGCAAAUGUUAAUGGAUGGAUUAAAAGUUUUAAGGCUCAGACUCGGGGGAAUAGGGACAAUGAGGUGGCGAUUACUCAUCUACUAUAUGCAGAUGAUACUUUAGUUUUUUGUGAGGCUGAGGUGAUACAAAUUAGACACAUCAGAGCAAUCCUUACCAUCUUUGAAGGUAUAUCUGGUCUGCAUGUAAAUUGGCAAAAAAGUUUUCUUUACCCUGUGAACCAAGUGGAUAAUAUGGAGUUGCUAGCUAGAAAUCUUGGCUGCCAAAUAGCAACCCUACCUACAAGGUAUCUGGGAAUGCCUUUAGGAGCACAAAAUAAUGAGAUAGCAGUGUGGAGUGAAGUUUUGGAGAGAUGUAACAGAAGCUUGCUAGGUGGAAGAGUCAAUACCUCUCCCUGGGAGGUAGGUUGACUCUAGUUAAAUCAGUUGUUGAUGCCCUUCCUUCAUAUAUGAUGAGCCUAUUUCCUAUUCCAAAGAACACUGUGAAAAAGAUCAAUCAACUCAGAAGGUCAUUCCUAUGGAAUGGAGAUAAAGAGCACAAAAGUUACCAUCUAGUUAAGUGGGAUACUCUUACUCUUAGCAGAAAGAAAGAAAGAAAGAAAGGGGGGCUGGGAAUAAAAAAGCUCAAUCUUCAGAACAAUUGUCUCCUUCAAAAAUGGUUGUGGAGAUUCUGCAUUGAAGAUCAGUCACUCUGGAAAAGAGUCAUCACAAUGAAGUAUGGACUACAAAGCCAUUGGAUUACUGAGGAGGCUCUUGGAACUUUUGGAUGCAGUGUGUGGAAGACUAUUAGAAGAUUAUGGCCCCAAUUCAAAGGCAACAUCUCACUAAAGGUGGGAAAUGGUAGGAAAAUUGAUUUUUGGAAUGAACAUUGGAUUGGGGAUGAAAGCCUGCAAUCACUCUUCCCAGACCUGUUUAUGCUCACCACUCAAAACAAGGCCACAAUCUCACAACUAUGGAGCCCUUAGGGUUGGAAUCUCAUAUUCAGGAGAGCUUUCUAUGAUUGGGAAAUCGAGAGGGUCAUUAAUCUGUUUCAGAUCCUCAAUGCCUUCCCGGGCACCUCCACUGAACCUGAUAAGCCUAUUUGGAGAUGGCAAAGCAAAGGUGUGUUUACAGUAAAGUCUUGUUACUGCAGAUACAAUAUUGGCCAAACACAGAUCAAAAACUGGCCAUGGAAGUUAAUAUGGAAGAUAAAAAUACCCUUGAAGAUCUCAUGUUUUGCUUGGUUAGUGUGCAAGAGGGCCUGCUUAACACAUGAAGUGCUUCAAAAGAAAGGCAGACAAAUAUGCUCAAGAUGCUUUAUGUGUGAUCAAGAUGCAGAAGUUAAUAGUCACUUAUUCCUUCAUUGCAAAGUAGCUACAAGCUUAUGGAACAUGUUUCUUGGUCUUCUUGGUGUAUGCUGGGUAAUUCCAAAGUCCACUAAGAAUUUGCUCUACAGCUGGAAGGAGAUAAGAAGAAGGGAGUCUAAUGAAGAUUGGUGGGAGUUAAUCCCAGCCUGCAUCUGGUGGUCCCUAUGGAAAUAAAGGAAUGGAAGAUGCUUUGUGGAUAAGAGGAACACCAUCCAGAAAAUUAGAAUGAAUUGUCUUAGUCUUUUGUACUUUUGGUGUAAACAAGAUAUGAUGGGGGAUAUAGAACUCUUUGCAGACUUUAUAGGUAAUUUGUAAUCUCCCAUAGGGUAGUUUGAUAUGCUCUGAUGAGAUUGUAAGUGACCUAUGCUCAUCAUUUAUUUGAUGAUGAGCCUUUUGUGAAUACACAGUUAACUUUAUCUCAAAAAAAAUUAAUGUAUUUUCAGCAUUACAUAGACUUUUUUACAGGUAUGUAUCAAGCUGGGUAUCUGUGAAUAUCUCUAAGGGUACGCACAUUUUUUUACCAGCUUUUGCUGUAUUUUAAGACAUUCACAUCAUCACAUGAAGCACCCAUAUUCAUAUCCCAUCGUCCGUCAGGAGUACAUCAAGAGAAAUGGAACAUCCAUGUAACAGAGAUCUUUAGCUUAGAGAUGUAUGAUGGACAUGUUAAUUUCAGAAUCUACUGAACUUCUUAAUUUAAUUUUUCGUGUAGCUAGAUCAUUCCUGUACUUCAAAUAUGAAUUUUCCUUUCAAAUUAGUAUGAGGACUUCAUUGCUACAGCAGGGACUAUUGAAUCUAAAUUUCAAAGUUAAACUAAUUUUUAAGGAGAGAUUGGAAGAUACAGAAAUUUGUUGAAUUCAGAUCGAUGGAUUUAUUUGUGAAAAACAUAUGGAGGAAAAGUAAAGAAUGGAGAAGUAAAAAAGUAUUCUAUUCUUGAGCAUUGGCAUGGCAACUAAUUGUCACUUUUUGUCCUUUUUCUUGUCUUCUGUUUCUUUCCUUUACUUUUAAAAUAUGUCUGGAACAGUGUUCUGGCUGUUAACAUUCUUUUUUUUGUUCUUUUAUUAUGGUGUUGGGGUAAACAGUCCCAACUUGUUUGAGACUGAUGCGUAGUAGUUGUAUUCUGGUAUUUGAGCAGGGGAAGAGGCAGAGCAUGGGGAUGGGAUAAGGAAGUUGUACCAAACACAAGUGGCAAAUGAAAGAAAUAAGUUUUUGGGGAGAAUUUUAGUUUCCAAAGAACUGUAACUGAAAAAGAAACUAAUUUCUGGCACUCGAGGCUUUAGUCUAUUGGUAAGAGCCAGUGUUUUAGACAGCGAAAGGCGAUAAAAGGCGACAAGGGUCUGCCUCGCCACAAGGCAAGGCGCCGCUCGCCUUUUUGAAGUACGGCACCAACUAAUUCAAAAAAUUAAAAUAUUUAAUUGCAUAUGUAAAUAAUCAAACUCUCAAUUGCAAUAACAUAUUAGCAAAUAUUUUAAUUCAAAAACUGAAAAUAGAUAGUACAUACUAAAAGUCUAGAACUUGAACGAGAAAAAAACAAAACAAAAGUCAAAACAAAGGUAGAAGUGACUUGAAGUCCAAAGAAGGAAAAAGAAAUUUGAAGAAGAAAUAUGUAUUGGUUACUUUGGAGUAGCCGGAAAAGUUUGCCUGGUCGCCGGAGGAGUCUAGUCGUAAACCCUAAAAUUACCUUUCAACUUUGAAAACCCUAAAUUGGUCACCUUUUUUUUUAAGAAUAUACAAAAGGCGACGCCUUUCUUGGUUUUCUUGCCUCUCGCCUUUUGGCGCCAUGGUGUCGCCUUUUGAAGAUUGCCUCGCCACAAAGCUAAAAGGCGAUGAAGGGUCGCCUCGCUUCGCCUCUUGCCAUUGGCGACGGGGCGAUCGCCUUUCACAACACUGGUAAGAGCGUAAUCCAUAUCCCAUGAUGUGCGGGUUCGGCGCAUGUCACGGGUUCAAUCCCUGCAGCAAACAAAAGCCUCUUAUUUGAGCGGAGAAGGGUAGAGGGGUGGGCGGGGGAUGAGAGGAGGGAUGCAACCAUUUUCCACUGAGUUUUACAGUGCACCAUUGGCCCUCUGGAGAUUCUGGGUUAUAAAAAAAAACUAAUUCUGCUAGAAGAAUUUAUUAUUUACCUAAUUUUUUUAUUUUUUUUGAGAAAAGAACUUACCUAAAAACUUGAAUCAGGAAAUCUAACUAAGCUCCAUUUUUGAGUUACUUUGGGCCUAAGAUAUGGAAAACGAAAAUUCAGUAAACUAGUAUUUUGUGAAUACCCAGGCUAUGUUGCAUAUAAAUCCUUAUUAGUGAAUGUCCCUGAUCAUAUUAUUUCUCGACUUUCUUUGCAGCUUGUCUUGCUGAAAUCAAUUGAUGGUGUGGAUGCUGAGUGGGUUAAGGAAGUUAAAGGAAAUACUUAUGACAUGGUUGUUGAAGGUUUUCAACUCUUAAGCAGAUGGACUGCACGAGUUUGGGAACAAUGUGCUUGGAAAUUUUCUCGCCCAUGCAAGGAUCCUGUUCCAAUGGAGUCGCAUGACAUGCCUGCAUCAUUUUCCGACUAUGAAAAGGUUUUAUUAUAAUUUUUAUGUAGCUGAUUACCCUCUUACAUGUAAUGGUGCAUCUCAGUGAAAUUCUCGUUCUCUUUUGCCUCCUCUCUCCCCCCAACACAAAAAAAUAAAAUACAAAAUUUGAAGAGAGCUACUUCCUUUUUAAUGCAUCUGACAUGAUAUCUGUUAAUAUUCUUAAAUUGGAAUGAAGGUGGUACGGUACAAUUAUAAUGCUGAAGAAAGGAAGGCUCUGGUUGAACUUGUAAGCUAUAUCAAGAGUAUUGGGUCAAUGAUGCAAAAGGUGGACACUUCAGUGACCGACGCCUUGUGGGAGACAAUCCAUGCAGAGGUGCAAGAUUUUGUACAAAAUACGCUGGCGACAAUGUUGCGGACUACCUUUCGGAAAAAGAAAGACCUUUCUAGGUGGGAGUCGCUUCCUCCCUUUUUUGUUUUUGAAAGUUUUUCUUACUAUUCUCGUAUUAGGUCAAUGAAAACUCAUAAGUAUGUAAUAUGAUCAUCCUUGUCAAACUUUGAAUGCAUGUUUUGACUGGACUAGGAUACAGAUUUUCUUUAGGAUCAGCUUGUCUUUAAAGCAACAUUUUAUUCCCAAAGUUCAACAACAAAAUGCGCAGUAUAAUCUUACAAGUGGGGUCUGGGGUGGGGAGGGUGUAAUCAGAUCCUAUUCCCGAAGUUCAAGCGAAACUAUUUUCUUAUAACUUAUUCUAGGAUGAGCAAAAAAUAUUUCGUUAAUGAGAAAAUCAAAGAAAGGACAAGAGGGUGUUUGACUUGACUUAACCAACUUUGAAGUAGUUUUCAGCCCUCAAGAGUGUUUGGAAAUUUUAAAACGACUUAAAAAAAAUUAAAAGAUAAAAGUAGAUACCCCCUACUUCUUAUUUUUUAACGUAAAAGUUAUUGAAGUUUGACUUUCUAAAAACUACUUUUAAAAAGCUACUUCUUUUAAGCUAAGCCAAACAGACCCAAAGUUAGCCCCCAAUAAAUAAAUUGAAUGAAAAAUUGCAAUAUUCCAUAGAACUCCACUUAAUCACUACGAAAGUUUUUCUUGAAGGAGAACAGACAAUUUAGAAUGAUGAAACUCCAUAAGGAAUAACAUUCUGAUGUUGACCUUGAAGAAGAUUAAAACAUGUUUUUUUUGGGAUAACAAUUUAGAAUUGAGUUCUUUAUGCUGAACAUGGAGAGGUGUACAAUUCUACUUUGAAGUGAUGAAACAGGCAUAACUAAGCCAAGAAACAGAUUGUUAGAUUCAGAAAGGUAGCAAGUUGCAGUUUUUGCGUAGUGUUUGGGGAUGUAUUGGGGAAAAUGAUGGAAAGCAAGGGAGCUACAGACGUUAGUUGAAGGGUGAUAUUAACAUGUAAAAAGGGAUGCCAGAGUGGUGGAAGAACUGUGCAAACUUGAAGCUACGGUCAGUCAUUGAAAAACACAAAAAGGGAAGAACAAUAAUAAUUGUACCUUGUAGGGUGGCUAAGACUAUAUUUUACAAGUGAUUUUGGUUACUAACGAGUAAGAAGACCACAUGGGGGUUUGUGGGAAUAGAAAUUUUGUUCUCGGUCCCUUUUGGUCUUUGUAUGCUUUGUUUGUGUUGGGUAUUCCAUGCCUCAGGAGUCAGGAUUAUGCAAAUGCUUUAGCAUUUGAGAAACAUUUAACUUUUUAUAUGAAGCCAAAGAGAUUGUCUCUCGAGUAUCAGACCCGACAUACGUAAUAGUUCUUUUAAAUUAGAAUGCUUUGUUGUUUUACAUAACUGAUUUGGAUACUUGGAUUUUGGUCUAAUUAUGAUUCUUCUAGUCUCUAAGUGCUCCACAUUUUUGCAUUGUUGUCAGGAUUCUUUCCGAUAUGAGAACACUUUCAGCAGAUUGGAUGGCAAAUACUAGUAAGCCAGAGACUGAAAUGCAGUCAUAUCCACAUAGUGGUGAAGAAGGCAGAGGGACCUUAUUUUAUCCAAGGCCAGUAGCACCAACAUCUGCUCAGGUUUCCUUACUUAUAUUUUCUGAUUUGGGAUUUCAAUGUUGUAAAGUACACUUCAAGUGCAAAUUCUCAUUAUUGUUAGACAAGCAUAAAUGAUGCAUCUAUAUUCUUAUUAACUCAAAAUAUUGCUCUGGGUGGAAGUGCUCCUUUAAUGAUUUGUGGUCUCUUAUCUCAUCUGAAUACUGGAGACAUCUGACACGAGAUUUAAGUGGCCAAAGUGAGAGUUUACUACUAUCUCUCUUUACAAGCUUCAUUGUCCUUGUGCAUGCAUUGUCAUGAUCUAAGUAGUGGUGGAUGAGAAUGUUCCGUUACUUAUCUAAUAUCUUUAUUCUGUAGGACACAAGAUGUAUAAUUGUACCGGUUAUGAUUAUUAAUUAUUUCGGUAUGCUUUGAUUAAUUUGCAUUUAGAGUUUCACAUCCGUGGAAUGUCUAAAGUAUCUUUUUCAGUACUAUAUUAAUCAAUUUUUCUCAAGAUAGAAGUAAAUUUUGAAAUCAAACUUACAACUUUGAAACUCUCCAUGUAGUGGUGCUUUGUUUCCUCUAUAAGCUAUUGCCAAAUUGAUAGCAACUAGCAAACUGAUACUGGUAAAAGUGAUUAUAUCAAAAAGAGAUAUACAUCAAAUGCACCUACCUUGGAUAUUGGGUAUACUGUAUGUUAACCUUAUCAAUGCCUGACUUCUCCCUUUUGUCAGGUCCAUUGCUUGCAGUUCCUCAUAUAUGAAGUGGUUUCCGGUGGCAACAUGCGGAAGCCUGGUGGUAUUUUUGGAAAUAGUGGUUCGGAAAUACCUAUCAAUGACUUGAAACAGCUGGAGGCAUUCUUCUACAAACUUGGUUUUUUCUUACAUGUAUUAGACUACACAGGUAUCUAUCUAUACUAUGUUAUUUAUCUCCUUUAAGGCAGACAAACAUUCAUGAUCUUUUUCAUUAAUGUGCAAGUUAGGUGUAGAACUGUUGGUGAUACUGUACGUACUUAGUUAAAGUCAUUUGCAUGUACAAGAACAUAUGAGUUCUUCUGUAUCAUCUCUCUGGCCUUCAUAAGCCACUGCUUUAUGUUUCUCCUCCUGACUCCUCUAAUGAUUUUGAGCAUAUAACAGUGUUUAUUUUGUAAUAUAUUUUCUUAAGCAUAAUCCAAUUCCAUGCACUCCCUGCAGCUACACUAGGAACUUUGACCGAUCUUGGUUUCUUAUGGUUUAGAGAAUUCUAUCUGGAGUCUUCUCGUGUUAUACAGGUAUAUAAGUGUGAACUUGCUUGAUGAUCUUUUUCUUUUGUGUAGUUAAAUUCUUAUUUGCUAGAGGUUUUGGUGUUGGUGGUAUAUCAAUGGAUUUCAACUUCACAAGUAAAGGCUCAUUUCUUAAUACAUAUCAGUAUCCAUUUAUUCCUUUCUUGUGAGUUGACAUCAGGAUGCUCCCUGAAUCUUCUUAACAUCUUAAAAGUUGUUCCUGAAACAAAAAAAAAAUACAAAAACUGUACAGAAAAAACUUUGCCUAGUUCUUCUUAAGCUGUCAUGGCUAUUUCAAGAAAUUUUAUCCAUUUCUAUUUACAGUUCCCCAUUGAAUGCUCCCUUCCAUGGAUGCUGGUGGAUCAUGUGAUCGAAUCUCCAAUUAUUGGCCUUCUGGAGAGUGCCUUGAUGUCAUUUGACAUCUAUAAUGAUGCUGCUCAGCAAGCAUUAGUGAUCCUCAAGCAACGUUUUUUAUAUGAUGAAAUUGAAGCUGAGGUAACAAAACGUUACAUUCGCAUAUUAAUAUUGUUGAUCCAGGGAAAUCCUUGAGGUCAUAGUCUCUCCACCUUCCAAACUUCACAUAUGUACAUGCAAUCUCUAUAUUCAGCAGAUUCUUAUGCUGUGAACAACAUUCUUAAUUCCAUCUUAUGAAAUAAGGAACUCUAUAAUUUUGAAUUUCAAGCAUUGUUGUCACCUUGGAGAUAUCCUCAUGUUAUACUUAAAAUGCGUUUGGUUUAAGAUAUUGAAAUAUCAAUUAUGCUUUAGGAAAUCUAGUUUAGUAGACUCAAUAGAAAACUCUUAUCUUCCCUGUGUAAUUAAAAGCUAUUACAGAAUUUUUUGUUUUCCAUAUUUUCUCCAGGUGGACAAUUGUUUUGAUAUAUUUGUCUUGAAGUUGUGUGAGACUAUUUUUACAUACUACAAAAGCUGGGCAGCCAGGUACCUCCUUUCUUUACCUUUUGUCUAAUUUUUACUGAAUAAAAUGGUCUAUAAGAAGUUGAGGAUCUCCUAUUCUGCAGUGAGCUACUUGAUCCAUCAUUUCUCUUUGCCAUAGACAUUGGUGAAAAGUUUGCAGUCCAGCCAAUGAGAUUCGUAGCUCUUUUAAAAACAACUAGAGUGAAGGUACAUAUAAACUUAUAUUCUGUAUAUGGUCAUGAACUUAUCUGUUUUACCAGGGUUCAUCUCCUGAUUUUUUUAUGUCCAGUGGUAGUGGGUUCGACAAGUAUUCAAGCAACCUCGUUUUCUCUGGUCUAUGGAAUUUUCCAAAUUUGCAUUUGCUUCCAUUCUUCGAAGAUUGUGAAAAUAUCCUGACUGGUGUGCACUGAGAGGUUUGGAUAUGUUUUGCAUAACAGACAUGGCUCAAUACAAGUGACUUGUCUUGACGAGAGUUGUUUUUCCAAAACCAAAUUAGUGUGUCAAAUUAUGGACAUGGAAAAUAUGUUGUUGCUUUAAUAAUUUGGCUAAAUCUUUUCAAUAAAAGGAUAAAAAGAUAUGAUAUUGUAUCUACAAAGAAAAAGAUAUAAUAUUUUACCUAACAGUACUAUUGUCAAAAAAAUAAUAAUAUUUGUAUCUGUCAAAGGUUCCACAACCCACUUAUCAAAGAAAAAAGGGGAACAAAAGAAAAAGAAAGGUUAUGCAAACAUAGACCAAAAUAAAUCAUGGAUAUUGUUAGAAUCUUUAUGAAUAUUUUAGAAUAUAUGUAAAUAUAGUAGGUGACUUAAUUUACUUCUAUUGUAAUUAGGUAUUGAUUUACUUUGCUUCUUAGGACAUGUAAGCCAUUGAGGGAAAAAUCAAAGCUGAUUUCUCUCUUUUUUUUCUUUGGCUUCAAAUGGUAUCAGAGCCUUGGUGAGAAACAUUCAAAAAAGAAAACUCAAGUAAAAUAGGUCAAUGUGUUUCAACUUCCACUAAUGUUAGGGUUGAUUUGCGUCAUCUCUUGUUUUGCGAGUGUUGUGCGAAAGCCAACACUACCACGAGGUUCGCAAAACUCAGGCGAGCAAACCCAGCAAGCCUCUUCGGCAUCUGACUGUUCACGCACCGGCAACAACAAGAUCUCCGGUAAUGCGUUUUCUCCACGCGCCAAGCGUGUGAGCAGUCUUCCGACGUGUUUCAGGUCACUCUUCUUUUCAGUAUUCACCUGCUUAUUCUGCCCUGACCGAUACCUAUCCUACAAGUUUCGACAACCAGAUUCAGAUCUAUCACUGUUCUGGCAAGUUUACAGUUGUUUUCUUGCGUCUGGGAAGAUUUUCAGCAACUUUCAUACACUUUGAAGGUUUCUAAUAGGUUGUUUCCGACCUCAUCCACAAGCUUUUUUUUUAUGGAAAAUAGUCGUCGGAAGUUUUCAGCUAGUGAUCUAGCUCUUCAAUUCAUUUCCUUCCGGGUUGAUAUUUUUGGCUCCAAAUACACGAGAAUUGGAAAUUCAAGUACUUUGAUUACAUUGGAACCCUUAAUGAGAAGUUCAAAUUAUUUAACUUGGCUUCCUCGAUUGAGUUGUGGUGCAAGGGUCAAAGUGUUCAAGAUCACUUUACAAAAUAGGCUAGUGAGGUGAUGAAAAGAUCCGAGCACAGUGGGAGAAGGUUGACGCUCAAUUAUGUAGUGGCGAUCAAUUGAUUCCAUGUUGAUGUCCUUAUUCUACCAUUCCAGACAUGUUAUUCAGGUAUAUAUGGAGCAUCCUCAGGUUUUGUUGUUUAGGUGGAGUCUAGUAUCAUGGUGUGUAGACUAUGACAGUCACUAUUUAGUCUGAAGCAGUUUCCUACACGGUUUGGAAAAUUUAGCAUGGUCCAAAGUGAAUUUACCAUUCUGCAUUCUAUUGUCACUUUGCUCUAGGUUUGUGCAUGUGCUUGGUGGUUUACGUCGAUGACAGUCAUUACAGGUAAUGAUGAAGAUGGAAUUACCAAGUUGAAACAUCACUUUUUCAACACUUUUAGACUAAGGAUCUUUGUUGAUUGAGGUACUUCUUUGGCAUUGAGGUUGCUCAAUCCAAAUAAAAAACUGUCAUUUGAUAGUGGAUGUAUGCACUUGAUAUUCUUGAGGAGACACGGAUGACAAGUUGUAUACUUAUUGAUACUCUGAAGGGGAGCGUCUUAGUUAUCCGGGAAGAUAUAAGAGGCUAGUAGGAAAAUUAAAUUAUCUCACUGUGACUCUACCUAACAAUGCUUUCCUGGUUAGUGUUGUAAGUCAGUUCUUGGAUUCACCCUAUGGCAGUCAUUGAAAUGAAGUUAUCUACAUUCUUCGAUACAUAAAAUCUGUUGUAGGGAAAUAGUGACUUUACGAAGGCCUGCAUAUGUUGCUUGGACUCUUCAAAAUCCCUACCGCACCCGUGUUGACAGGGUGUGGGUGUGGGUGUUGAUAUACAAAUAUAGAUUGGGCAUGAUCACCCUCUGACAUUCGAUCCACUUAUGGAUAGUGUGUUAUAGUUGGGGGAAAUUUUGUAUCUUUAAAAAGCAAGAAACAAAAUAUGGUUGCUAGAUCAAGUGCAACAAAAAAAUAUCAUGGUAUGGUAAUGGCUGCAUGUGAACUCAUAUGGAUCAAGCAACUACUGAAGGAGUUAAAAUUUGGAGAGAUUAAAGAAAUGGAACAGUUGAUUGGUUGGAUUAUCGGUGGAUUCAGUUUGAGCAACAUGAACAUUCUUUGCUUUACCAUGGAGAGUAGCACACAUCACGGGUAUGGCCCAAUUUGUUAUAGUUGUUUUUCAUACCGGCCUCCAUGUCGAUUUCCAGUCUGGAUGCUAGAAUAGAAGAAUCUGCAGGUGGUACUGGAUGACAGAUGACUAGAUGACAUAGUGGUGCAACUAGUCGUAACAAUUUAGCAAACAUGUCAUCCCCAACAGAAGCAGUAGAGCUAGCCAAAAUUUGAUCACACAUUGUGUCAAGAUCCGAUGGAAGACCAACAAGUGUAACAACUAGAAACAUCUUCUGGCGCUGCUCCAAUUGCUUUUCAACAUUUGGAGCGGCUGGCAUUAACUCAUUAAAUUCUCCCAUAACCACAUGAACCUGUCUAAGAUAGGUCAAGUUAUCUGAGUCCUACUUUUUAAGAUUAGUCAAUCGAGAAAUCACAUUAUAAAGGAGGGAUAUGUCAUUUGUGUAUAGCCCAUGAGCCUUUUCCCUAACUAACAAGCAAGUUUGGAAUGGUCGGAACAACGACAUUGACUUCGAAUCAAUAGAUUUCCAUAAUAGACUAAUAUCUCAUAAAAAAAAAGAUUUUCAUAACAGACUUUAUAAUUGAGCAUCAAUCUUCUCCCAUUCGUCCCUAUCUUUUUCGGUAGUAUCCUUAGUCUGUGUAACCAAGUGUUCUGAACACCUUGUUCCUUGCACCAUAAUUGAACAGAGGAGGACCUAGAUAAAUAGUUCACACUACCUAUCAAAGGUUCUGUGGUUAUGCCAUCGUUUGAGUUAUUGGUGCCAUAGAUUUAGUGCUAAACAUAUAACUAAGCUUUGACAAAGGAGAGGGGGACCCUUCUCAUACCCGCCCUUACAGGAGCCUAACAGAGAACCUUGCCCGACACCAUUUCCGGACCUAGCAGCAGACGGGCGGGACGUGCCUGAAUUCAGACCGGACCAGACUCUUCUUUGUUUGAUCCGAGAGACAUGAAAACAAAUCUAUUCGUGUUGAAAAGAAAGGUCUGGAAAAGAACCCAAAGAAUAGAUCUGGAAAACUGAAAACUACUUGUUGUCUUUCUGGAAAAUUAGAUUUGACCACCGGGAAGUGGUCAAAAUGGGAAAAAAACUAAUGGGUAGGAUCAGAGUGCUACGGCAAACCUAUUGAAACAAGGAAUCUGUCGUAAAAGUGAUUGGGAAACAUCAUACACGGGUAGGAUCGGAGUACUACGGCAAACCUAUUGAAACAAGGAAUCUGCCGUAAAAGUGAUUGGGAAACAUCAUACACGAGGACUUCGAUUGUAAUGGUGGUAUUGCUAUAUGCACAGUACCACUGGGGAGUGUCAGAAUCUUGGAACAAUGGAGGUUUUGCUGGAAAAAUGCUCAGCAAUUUUGUUCUCUUAUUUUAUUCUUGUUGUCACUAAAGAAAGCUCUGAUACUAUGUAAAAUUAGGUUUUGGGCCUAGCUCACACUCCAAAAGUUAGUUCAAAGGGAGGAGAAUUGCUUAAGCCAUAUAAGGAGACCACUCAUCACCCCACCUCACGCCAAGGGCUGGACAUAUGGUGCGUAGGCAAGUUUAAUUUUAUUUUUUUGAGGCUGGUAACAUAGUAGGAAAGUUUAAUUCUUUCUUGGCCCAACAUCAGAUGGGUCCUGCUCUAAUACCAUGUGAGAAAACAAGAGUUUGAGAGAACUCAGCUUGAUUAUUCCCACAAGCUAUUGGGGUUUAAAUAACUAAGUUUAUAUGUCCUAAAAAGGAGAGGAUAUCAAUACAAAUCAAUACCUAAUUAUAAUAGGAGUAAAUCAAGCUACCUACUAUAUUUACAUAUAUGCUAUAGAAUAUGGAUUCUAACAGUUUCUAACACCAUUAACAUCAUGUUUACCCUUGUGGGGUGGGGAGUGGAAGCGGAAGAAGACAAGGUCAUUUAUACAUGUCAUGCCUCAUGUCCAGAAAACCUUUGACAUGGAUUCAAUGUCCUUUUAAAAGCAUAUGUUGUAUUAGUCUAUAAAAAUUUGAACAUUGUACUCGGGGUACCAUUCAUUUAAAGGAGAUGCAUCCAUUUUGACCAGUCGUUGCUUUUUUACUUAGAUACCAGGUCAUUUUUUACUCAUUCUCCCUUUCUAUAUCAUUUUUAUAUUUAUGUUCUAAAGUUGGACUUGUAUAUGAGAAUCUUGAUUUAUCUACAUUAUGUUUGUUUCUAUGGUGUUCCUUUCUAACUAGAAAUUCUUGUAACAUGCAGCUUCUAGGUAGGACCAUCAACUUGAGAAGUUUGAUUGCUGAUAGGAUGAACAAAAUGUUUAGAGAUAAUCUUGAAUUUCUGUUUGAUCGCUUUGAAUCACAGGAUUUAUGUGCUAUUGUGGUAAAUACUCUCACAUAUCUUCUGGAUUAACCCAAUCUGAACAUUUCUUAUCUCUUAAUUGAAAAACUUAACACUUCCUCUCCUCUCUCUCUCUCUCUGUACAUUUAUCAGGAGUUGGAAAUGUUGCUGGACAUCUUGCAACUUACUCAUGAAUUACUCUCGAAAGACCUUACAAUAGAUUCUUUCAAUCUUAUGUUGAAUGAGAUGCAGGAGAAUGUAUCCCUUGUUUCUUAUUCUAGUCGACUUGCUUCACAGGUUUGUCAAUGUCUCUUUCAAUCCUGUGUGAAAUUUAGUAUGACAGAUAUUCAUAUUUAUCAAUCUCUGUUUUAUUAUAAUUUCUGCAUAACUUCUUUUAAAAAUGAAAAGCCCCCAAGGCCUAGCUCAAGUGGCUAAAGGUGGAGGAUUUGUGGCUUAGGUCGCAGGUUCAAGCCCCACACCAUGCAAAGCGAAGCCCGGUAUUUAAGUGGAGAAGGGUAGAGGGGCGGGGCAUUAUCCACCGAGUUUAUAAGACUGUGAUUGGUCCAAAGGGCGGGUCACAAACGGAUUUCUCGGUUAUCAAAAAAAAAAUAUAUUAAUGAAAAUUUUAUUAAAGAAUAGCACCCCUCGUGCAAUCAAUAAAGAGUAGAACCCCCCAAAAUUCAUCUUAUUACACUAGCUACAUGUGAAAAGAACUAAGGAAAUAACAUCUAUUUCCUAUCUUCUUUUUGUAUGUGCAUAGUGUUAAAAAUUGCACCUUCUGAAAUGUUGGUUUCCCUUUUUGAAAAAAAAGGAAGAAUAGAUAUGAUCACAAGAGUCUAAAGUUGCCUUCGCUUAGUGAUUUUGAUUAGGGAAGAGGUGCUUGGGACUUGGGAGUGGUGGGAUUGAUGGUUAAUGCACUUUCUGUGUGGGGGUAUGAAUAGGAGUGGGGUGACAGAGUUGUACUGGGCUACGAAAAAUGGCAGCUUCUCAUUCAAUUCAAGCAAGUGACGAGUACAUUUACAGUAGAUGAUUGGGUAUGUAAGGCUUUCACGGUGUAAUAAGAGGAACUAGACAACAGAGAACUAGCAAACGUGGUUGACGAAUUUAGCAGAAAGGGGCGAGAAAUACAAAUUGUGUUUGAACUCAGCAUUUCUAUUUUAUAUAGUAGUAUCAUUGUCUUAGAGAGGCAUAUGGUGUGUUUGGUAUGAAGGAAAAUGUUUUCUUGGAAAACAAGUAGAUUUUUGACUUAUUUUCUCAUGUUUGGUUGGUGCGUAGAAAAUAUUUUCCGGAAAAUAUUUUUUAGUGUUUAAUUUAUGAAUGAAAAUUAUUUUUGAGAAAAUAUCUUUUAUUUUUACUAGAGAGUAGAAAAUAAUUUUUGAAUUGAAAUUGAAAAUAUUUUUUAAAAACAAACUUAAANNNNNNNNNNNNNNNNNNNNNNNNNNNNNNNNNNNNNNNNNNNNNNNNNNNNNNNNNNNNNNNNNNNNNNNNNNNNNNNNNNNNNNNNNNNNNNNNNNNNNNNNNNNNNNNNNNNNNNNNNNNNNNNNNNNNNNNNNNNNNNNNNNNNNNNNNNNNNNNNNNNNNNNNNNNNNNNNNNNNNNNNNNNNNNNNNNNNNNNNNNNNNNNNNNNNNNNNNNNNNNNNNNNNNNNNNNNNNNNNNNNNNNNNNNNNNNNNNNNNNNNNNNNNNNNNNGGGUAGGGGUGGGGUGGGGUGAAAAAUAAAAAAAUUGAAAUAUUUUUUAAAAACAAACUAUAAUUUAUUUAUUUUAAUUUUUUUUUGGGGGAGGGGGCGUUAGGGAGCUGGCAGGGAUAGGGGUGGGGUAAAAAAUAAAAAAUUGAAGUUGAAAAUAAUUUUAAAAAAAAAACUUUAAAUUUAUUUUUUCAACAAAAAAAUUGUAAUAUGAAGUUGGAGGAGAGUUUUAGAAAAUGUUUUCCUUAAUUUUUGGAGGGAAGUCAUGUUCCUUAAAUUUGAGGAAAAUGAGUUGAUUUGGAAAACAUUUUACCCAACCAAACAUGAGAAAAUUGGAAAACAUUUUCCGGAAAAUGUUUUCCUUCAUACCAAACUCACCCAUAGUUGUUGAUUGAUUUCUUCCUCCUAGACUGAGAAACGGCUUCUUCACCUUUCUUGUUUUAGUUGAGAAGGACAACUUAAAACAGGAAACUCAAAUGAACUCUUCCUGCACACCAGCAUAACCUUGUAUUUUCGAAUCAUUUUGUCUUGAGCAGUGACAUGUUUCUGAUAUGCUGUCUGUCCACCACCCUUAUUUUGCAGUAUGUCAGCUACACUAAUAUUUAGUUCUACUGUCAAGGUGUGAAAUUUUGCACUCAGUUUCAUAUCAGAUAUUCUGUAAUUCUUGAGUAUGUUGAACUUUUUCCUAAAGUAACAUUUGUGAAAUAUCAAAGGCUAAGCUAAGAGUUCAAGCCAAAAACUUAAAACAGUUCCCCCUCAAAGAAGAGAAAAGGUAAAAACAGAAAAAAAGACACAAAAGAAUAAAGGAAAAAGUAAAUAAUAAGGAAUUGAUUUUACAGUAGGUUCCGUAUAUAAAUAGGGGGAAAACAGUGCCUACUAGGGUACACAGAUGCAGAAAUAUAGCCUAUCAUUUUGGUUACUGCAAGGUCUGCAAUUUCAUUAGAAAGGAAGUGCUGCAACUUGUCCAUUGAUCAAGUGACAAAGGGUUAUAGACCAAGAUUAAUGUGCUGUGCAUUAGAACAGUGCUAGUUUUAUCAUCAGUACAGUGGACUAUCCUUGGUUGUGUUCAUUUGUGCAGGACACUUGAACGAUCAACCUGUAUACGUGGAUUAUUGGAUAACUGCCUAUUCUAUAUUCUCAAAUUUUAUUCCUCGAUGUGUGUUAAUUUUUCUUCCUAAAUUUUAUAAAUCACCCUGGACUGAUUGUUUUCCUGUUAACCUUUCUAAUUUAAUUAAGAGUCCUGAUAAGAAAGUUGUCGAUGCUGGAACAUCUCAUUGAUGUAAUCAAGAUACUUAUUAUGCUCUUGAUGUGCUCUAGAUUUGGACAGAAAUGCAAAAUGACUUCUUGCCAAAUUUCAUCCUCUGCAAUACUACUCAGCGUUUUGUCCGAUCAGCACGAGUGCCCCCUGUUCCUGUCCAGAAGCCUUCGGUUCCUUAUGCAAAGCCAAAUUUCUACUGUGGAACUCCUGUAAGAAACUAUUUCCUUGACACUUUCCUGAUGUAAUUAUCUAUUACAUUAUUAAUCUUUAAAUGGUGUUUUCUGCUGUUACCAUAUUCAGGCUACUAUAUGGAACUUAAUCUACUAAGUUCUUCAGUUGCAACCAUUCUCUUAUUCUUUUUCCUGCAGUUGUUCAUUGUAUUCUCAGUUGUAUGUUAUGAAUGUUGCUUUUGAGCUGAAGAAAUGAUAUCUGAAUCUUACUAAUGCAAUUUGAGAAAAUGAGCUUAAAACUGAUCAAAUGACGGUGCAAGUAGAACACAUAAAGGAAAACGAAGAGGCCAACCGUGAUAGUUUUAGUGACAUCCUAGGUGUCUCUCCACAUGCCUCGGUGUAGGUGCGACAUUGUGAUAAUUGAAUGUGCUAAAAGGAGAUGAGUUAUAUCUAAAUUCUUGUAGUAAGAAGUUGUUUCACAAACCUAUAAACUCUCUGAAUGAGUGGCACCAACUAGAGACAAAAUACAAUAGCAGCAAAUGAUCUCUAUAAAAGAUACCAACUAGUUGUACUAAGGUUUAGCUUUUGUAAUUACACUUGCAUUCAGUUAUGUAUUUGUAAGGGAUCUUAGUCUAGUUCGAGAGUUGUAUGCCAGUGUAGCGAUAAAUGUGAAAUUUGAAGUACUUCAAGUUUCCGAAUGCCUGUAAUUUGCUUACACUCUCUCUGGUUGAUUUUUGUUUCUUUGAUAAGGUAAAUGAGUUCAUUAAUUCUUGCCCCAAACUCGCCUGUAUGCAAGUAGCAUACCAAAGAUAGAAAACCUACAAAAACAUAUGUUUUUCUAUGAAAGACACUCACACCCAAUCCUUUAUACAACAAGGAAUAUCAUGGGUGCUAAGAGGCUACUCCUCAAAUUCACAAAAUUCAUCUCUACCCCUUCGAAAGCUCUCCUAUUUCUCUCUCCAGAUACACACAUAGGUGCUAGUGACGGAACUGUCCAAGCCUUGCGCCUUUUCCUCCUACCACGACUCCAGGUGAACAUGAACUACUUUCCUAUUCUUGACAUCUUCCAUGACAUGCCAAACAAAUUAAGUGUUUUCAACCAUAAAAUCUAGGCAAAACGACAAUGUAGAAGGAGAUGAUUGAUAUCUUCACCGGCUUCCUUUCACAUAAAAUACCAACUAACACUAGCCUUCCGCUUCCUUAUAUUUUCGGCCAUCAAAAUCUCCCCUCUAGCGGCAACCCAAACCGGAAUCCAAAUCGAGCUAAGUGGAAAAGAUAACCUUCUCUUUGAUCAAAAAGGUUCUCAUAGAAAGACUUGACAAAAGAAGCUUUGUCAAAUGAUACCAUCUCCAUAAUUGAUGUACUAGACUCAAUUUAGUAAAAGAUAGUAGGAUUUGAAGUACAUGUUGUAAAUACUGACCAGUACAGUUUUAGUACUGAUUUUUGAGGAAUAGACAAAGUUACCAAUUUCAAAAAAAAAAAAGCUUUGUCAUUCCCCGAACCCCGCCUCCGAAUAUCAUUGCUAUCAAAAGACUUACAUUGUUUGUGAAGUAAAUCUAAUAGUCUUUGGAACUCAAUUACCUCCCAAUCAUGGAAAUUCCUCCCGAACCUUAGGUUCCAGAACACCUUACCACCAUGUGUCCUCCGGAUUUGUUGAAUUGUCAACUCCUUUUGGUAUGAUACUAAAUACAUGUUGGGGAAAUCAUCUUUCAAAGUGUUGUCCCCAAAAAUUAACUCUUCCCCCAUCUAUUAUUUCUUUAUGUUUCUGACCAUCCGUAUGUAAUUUUUUUCAAUGACAUUAUAUCUUCUAUGACUAUUAAUCUUUGAAAAGAUCUAGUGGUGCUGUCUACUUCAUUCAAUCACCUUACCCCUGAUUUUUUUCCUCUUUUAAGUUUAUUCUCAUAUUGGCUAUGCAAAUAACUUUUUGGUCAUAUUUAUAUUUGUCAUACCCAACCCAAGAGAGAGCUUCAAGUACUCCCUCUAUCCCUAUUUACUUAUCCAUUUUUGAUUUGACUCACCUAUUAAGAAAAUAAUAAUUGUUAUAGUGGGUUUACCAUUUUACCCCUAUUAAUUGAUAGAAUUCCAAAAUUAAUUUACUCAUUAAAGAGGUUACCUUUUUCAAAAACAUUAUCUGUCUAAAUAAAUUGAGGGUAUAAUAGGUAAAAAUAUUGUCUUUUCUUGAUUUGUUAAAAAUGACAAGUAAAAAGUCAAAAUUGGACAAUUAAAAAAGGACAGAGGGAGUAUCUUAGGUCCAAAUUAAGGAGACGGGGUGAUAGACGAUGAGGUCGCACACUAUAUUGGAGUUGGGUGAGUGAAAUAGAGGCUCGGUUAUGGGGUACUAUGUGAUAAGAAUCUGUCACCAAUGCUUAAAGGUAAGUUUUAUAGAGUGGUGGUUAGAUCCACACUAUUAUGUGGGACAAAGUGUUGGCCACUCAAGAAUGUCCACGUUCAGAAGAUAAAGGUAGUGGAGAUGAGGAUGCUCAGAUGGAUGUGUGAACAUACUAGGAGAGAUAUGAUUAAGAAUUAAUUAUACAUGACUAGGUGGGAGUGGAUUCCGUGGCGGACAAGAUAGGUGCAAGGAUAUGCGCCGGUGAAGAGGUGUGAGAGGUUAGUUGUAGCACGAGUUAGGAGAGGUAGAAGUAGGCUGAAGAAGAACCAAGGGAGGUGAGGUGAUUCGACAGGACAUGACACACCUUUAGCUGGCUGAUGACAUAAUCUUAGAUAGGAAGGUAUGGUGGUCAAGGAUUAGGGUAGAAGGUUAGUAGGUAGUCAAGUGUUGUCGUAUUUCUAGUAGUAUGAUUUAGGUAUCGCGUGGUUUCUACGCUUGUUUUGUACAUUGCUGUUUUGCCGCUACACUUGUUUUGUACGUUGAUAUUUCCUUGGUCUCUUUUUUUUCUUAAUUUCCUGUGUCAGUUACAUUUCUUUUGAGUUGAGGAUUUAUCGGAAACAACCUCUCUACCCCGCCAAGGUAGAAAUGAGGUUUGUGUACAUCCUACCCUCUCCAGACCCCACUUGUAGGAUUUUCACUGGGUAUGUUGUUGACUUGUUGUAUAAUUAUAUUUUCAGUGUCUCUUGAAUAGACUGGAUACAAUUACUUCCCAUGUUAUUUAUAUUAUUUUAUAGUGUAAUAAUCCUUCCCUUGUUUGUUGUUCUUGCUGUAGGAUCUGAAUUCUGCUUACCAGAACUUUGCUCGAUUGUACUGUGGGUUUUUUGGUGUGCCUCACAUGUUUUCUCUAGUCAAGCUCUUGGGAUCUAGGUCACUUCCUUGGCUUAUCCGAGCCCUUUUGGAUAAUAUAUCGAACAAGGUAAACAGAUUUUUGACAAUUACUAGUCUCUUGCGAUGCUGUUCUGCAAUAUUAUUUCAGUAUUCAUGUCACUGUACCAUAACCAUUGAUUUAUCAUGAUUUUUUCUUUAUUUGAUAACCAUCCUGCUGGCUUUGAGAUCAUAUAAACGACAAUAUUUGUAGAUUCAUCUGUCUGCAAUUUGUGGCAUAUCAUCAUUACAACCUCUGUUUCAAAUUCUAAUGCAUUCCAAAUUCUUGUCCAGAUCACUACCGUUGAACCAAUGAUUACUGGACUGCAAGAAGCUUUGCCGAAGUCUAUAGGGUUACUUCCAUUUGAUGGUGGUAUCUCAGGUUAGUUUGUUACAUUAUGUAGCAAAGUGUGACCUCCAAAGGGAUCUUUUUUACAUCAAGUAAUAUGCUUUAUUAACAAAGGAUCAAAGUACACGUAUACAAGAAGUAUGCACGAGCAGAAAAACUUAUAAAGUGAUAUAGUUUUCUACAAACAACACCCGAUCUUCUAUACCUAUGGAACUUCGUGGGUGCCCCAAAAGGAAAUAAGGCACAAGAGGCUAUUCCUCAAGUGUACAAAAUCCUUCUGUAUUCCAUCAAAACUCUCCUAUUUCUUUCUCUCCAUAUGGUCCACACGAGUGCUAGGGAGCAACAUCCCACGCCUUGCAUUUCUUUAGGCAAGGUACCAUCUCUCUGAGUAGACUGUUUGUGUACUAUCCCGGAGUUUUGGGUCAACCUGUAAUCACUGUCCUUCGAACUUGAUUAUCGGAUGAAUGAAUCUAAUAUUGGGGAAAGUAUAAAUAAAACUUAAUAGAAAUGCUGUCUUUUGGAGAAUUAUGUUGUCUGGAAUUUUCUUCUACUUUUGUAUGCAUGAAUAUGCAAGACAUUUUCAAUCACAUCAAUAAAUAGUUAAAUUUAUCCCAAAAAAAUAAUAUAAUUUUAUAAUCUGUGCUUUCCCCCCUCGUUAAGUGGUUAUUGUUGUUCGAGAUCUAAAUGUAAUGUGAUUGUUUUUUCGGAUGCUUAGGCUGCAUGAGGCUUGCCAAGGAGCAUCUUAGCUGCUGGCAUUCAAAGUCUGAACUCAAAGCUGAAGUCCUUUGUGGAAUCAAGGAGAUUGGUAGCGUAUUGUACUGGAUGGGACUUCUUGAUAUUGUAUUGGUACUCUUCCUGAGCUUCUCACUCUAAACAUUACAUGGAGAAAUGACAGAUUACAGUAUUGAUUGGUGGAAGUACCGACUACACAUGUUGAUCUGACUCUCUUCAAAUAAAUAUAUUUAAUAUAGCCUUGCUACCUUUGUUUUUCCUUGUACCCUCUUUGACAACUCUAUUAUUGCUAUUGAAGACAUGGCAGGAUCAAUAAGUAAAUAUCCUCUCAGACAAUGUAAUAGGUAGUUGGUUAGCCAAAUAAGGGAUAAGGUUAAGGGCUAAUUCAUAAGCUUACAUGUUUGAGACAGGAUAAAUGAUGGAUUAGUGAUCUGCCAUGGUAUUGACGUCUGGAAAUUAUGUGAAGAUGUGAUUAGGUUUUAGAAGACUACUAUGCAACAACAACAACCCAGGUGAAGAUAGAGAGAUUGUUUUUGAUAGACCCUUGACUCAGGUGAAGACAAAAUCAAGUACACAAAGGAAACACAGUAGUGAACCAGUCAUGCUGAAACAUAAUGAAGAAGAGAACAGUAGCAACAAAAAAAUACUACGGUCACCGAAGCAAAGGAAACAACAGAUAACAAUAAAUUCGAUGAAUAACACAUUAGGAGAGUGAUAGAAACAAUACUAUAAAGGGAAACUAGACAGCGCUCGACUACCUACUAACAUUCUUCCCUAAUCCUUGUCCUCUAUAUCCUCCUAUCUAGGGUCGGUAAGCUGCACGUGAGCCACGUCCUGUCCUGUCUAAUCACAACCAGUUCAUGCUAGUAUUUUGACUUGUAUACCUGGGCACAUCCAAAUUCUCCGGGGUUUGAGACUAAUUACCGCAUUAAGUGAACUCAAUCCUAGCCAGAAAGUACGGUGUGUUGCAGGAUUUUACGGUAUUUCUCACCUUUUUGACUUCCCCUGGUUCCAAAACUUUGAACUCCACCUUCCGUGACCAAAUUGUGGCUCUCGCCUCUCAACAAAUGUGUUGCUCUUCUCUCUCACUUACUCCAGCUUUGUCCUCCUAGUCCCCAAAUGAUCCCGCGUUAUGACUUCCUCCCCUUUUCCCAAUGUUGUCAUCGUCACCAACCAAUUGUCAAUGUCUUUUCGUACAAAAAUGUCAUUCCCUUUUCCCCCUCCCCUUAUAGUAUCAUAAUCCCCAAGGGUUCAACAACUUCUUUUCUUUUCCUUGUGAAAUUAUUUUCUAAUUCCUAAAGUUCUUUUCUUCCCUUCUAUUUGUAUGUUAUCAUUGAUCUGAACCUCAAUCUUUCAUUUUUGUAAUAUACAUGGAUAAGGAAUAAUCUAAACAAAAAUUGUAUUAAAAGAUGAAAAUUUUGAUGAAUAUAAGGACAAAAGUUCUCUAUCUUUACAAUAAAUGUGAAAACUUCUUUUUUAUAUUAGAAAUGGUAAGUGUAUUGUCAAUACAACACCAAGAAAGUGCUGUCAAAGGUAUUUACAGGUCAUAAACCAAAAGUAUAUGGGAGUCUUUCAAUUCUAUAGUGCUUCAGUAUCACUUAAAAAGUCUGUUUAUCCCCCCCACUCCCCAAAAAAUAAAACAGUUCAUUCGAAGAUUUAUCUCUCCAAAUAAUCCACCAUAUGCACUGGAGUGGUAUACCACUAUGUUUUUUUCCUAUUGUCUCUCCCUCUGAUAUUCCAGCAUUUCAGUAGAUCACUAGUGUCUCAUUGCAUAACAAAUUUGAGUCCCAACAUGUUUGAGGAAUAGCUCCAUAUUUGAUCAGUAGGGGGAUGAUGCAAAAAAAGACGAUUCACACUCUCAGGUUGAUCCCCACAUAAGCACUUGUAACACAACUGAAUCUCUCUUCUUUGAAACUUAAAUCUUUAUUUGUAAAUAUAUGAAAAUUAUAUUAAAAAUUAAAAUUUUGAUGAAAUAUCAGAACAAAAGUUCUUUAUCUUUACAAAAAAUGUGGAAACUUAUUUUUUUUAAGAAAUGGCAAGUGUUUUGUUAUUAUAGCACCAAGAAAGUGCUGCCAAAAGUAUUUACAGAUAAUAAACUAAAAGUAUAUUCCUGGUGAUUUUAACGUGUCUUUCAAUUCAAUCACUGCUUCAGCAUCACUUAAAAAGUACUGUUUAUACCAAUAUAAAAACAAACAUAAACAGUUCAUUUUGAUCUUCUGAAUGUAGUUGCCUCUUUCUUCAAAGCAUCUAUCAUUUCCCUUCCUCCAAACAAUCCACUGCAUGCAUGCUAUAAUGGUGUACCACCAUUUCUUUUGCCUGUUGUCUCUCCCUCUAAUAUUCCCACACUUAGUUAGGUCACCAGUGCCUCUAGCAUUAUGCAUUUGAGUCCCUCCAUUUUGAGGAAUAUCUGCCUAAGUAGAUCAGUAUGCGAUGCCAUCAUGUCCUCCAUUUAUGUCCUUCUGUGUAUUGAAGUAAAUUGUUCUUGGACCAUUGAAUUACAAUGAUCUUAAGGUUCUUUUCAGUUAUCAACUUAUUUUGCAUGAACACUGAUUGUAUUUAUUGUUGUGAUAGUGACACAAUAUUCCACAAAGAGGAAUUUUUAAUAUCUAUUGUGUUAUGUAUUUAACAGAGAGAAGUCGAUACCCGCCAGUUUAUGCAAACUGCUCCUUGGUUGGGCUUGAUUCCUGGUGCUGACGGGCAAAUAUUGCACUCUCAGGAAGGGGGAGAUAGCCCUAUGGUCACUCUGUUUAAAUCUGCAACUACUGCAACCAUGUCCAACCCUAACUGCACAAAUCCAACAUCAUUUCACACUAUAUCGAGACAAGCAGAAGCUGCCGGUAGGUACCCGUUCAAUAUCCAGCCUUUUAAUGAACUCGUCAAUAUGAUUUCAGACAUGUUAAACAACUUGUUAUGUCAUCUUAAGUCUGAUAUCAUAGGAAGCUUUUCAUGGUCCAUGUCUCUCUGUGGCACGUUUCUCAUUGGACUAUGUCACUAUGAUGCAUAGUACCAUGGUGCUUACCGUGUCCUCCUUUUCCUCUUGAAGAAGAGAAAUUUAAUUAAAUGCACAGGAAAGCUCUAGUAUAUAAACGCUUGAGAAUCCACAACAUCUAUAUGAAUACUCACCGACCAUGUUUCUCUAUUUUAAUAUUACGUCUGAGAAUAUUUGCAAGUUUUAAAAAGGUUUAUUAGAUAAUUGUGAGCCAAAAGACAAUGUAAACUUGCUUAUUAGGUAUGGACCUGGAAAGAUACUGUAAACUUGCCAUACCUUGUCUUUCUUAGUAUUUUGGCAUCAUUUCCAUUGCCAUGUUUCACUAGUUAUGAAGCCAUUUGCUUUUAAGAUCAAAGGAGAAAACUGGAUUGGUUCUCGUGGCGAAUAAGUGUCUCUAAGUAAAAUAUUAAAUUUAUAUUGUCGAGUUGCAAACUCUAUAGUAGUAAGAUAUAUUCCCUUUCUUUUGUCACUUCCAAUUUUUUACCGAAUUUAAUGAGUGGAAGAUUUUGAUGCAUUCAAGUUUCAUAAGCAGCAGAGGAUUAUUAAAUGUUUUACAGUACAAUUGUUUGACUUGCUAGUUUUGAGCUAUAAAGUUCAAUAUAGAAAAGGGACCAACGAUCUGGCAGCUGAUGCUUUGUCAAAUAAAUUUGAAUAACAGUGUUAAUGCACUUCCAACACUGCUCUACAACCUGAUUAGGUGAAUGAGGUAAUUGACAAUUAUGACAGAGAUAAGGAAGGGGAAAUAAUACUUUUAAAUGCUUGCGUAGUACCAUGAUGAGAUAUGGAUAGGGAGUAAGGAUGUGGCAACUUGUUAAUGACUUAAUGUGAUCCAUUCUUCAUCUCUUGGGGGUCACUCCACAUCCAAGCAAAUAUAACAGAGGUUUAGGAUAGUUUUCGUGGCAUCACCAAGAUAGAUGAAAAACAUAAUGAGGGAAUAGUAUGGCAUGUCAGCAAUGCAAGACAGAAUGUGCCAUAUUCUGACUUUGUCCAGACUUUAUGCGUCUCUAACGGGAUUUGGCAACGUGUAACUAUGGAUUUCCUAGAAGACUGCAGAUGGAAAUGAUAUUGUGAUGGAGACCAUAAACUGUGUAUUGAAAUAUGUAACCAUCUCAUCUAAAAAUUUAAGUUGUUAGAGAGAUCAUAAAGACUUAAUUUUGUCUUUAACAUGGUCCCUCACAUAUGAGCCUGAUUCUUUUUUCUUGGCUCAAAUACAUUGAUUUUUUUUUUAUAAUGGUGGUGAUGAAACUCGAACCUAGGACCUUUGUCUUCUUUGAUACCAUGUUAGAAAUGAGAAAUACAUAGGAGGAAGACUAGAGAAUGUAUUGAUUGAUCAUUACCUUAAGUUAUUGGGUAUUUAAAUAGUACGUACACCUCCUAAACUAGGAAACAAAUCAAAGUUGCAUAAUUACUGUUAGACUAUGAAUAGGUUUAUACAAUCCUAUUAGAAUAGGAAUAGGUUUAUACAAUUCUAUUAGAGUAGGAAUAGUAAUAGAAAUAGGAAUACUAAAUAGUAUCCUACUUGGUAAAUGAUUGUAUUCUAGGGUCUAUAAAUAGGGUCUCAAUGUAAUAAUGUAGAUACAACAACAAUUCAAUAAUAUUAUUUUUCUAUAUUUCUCACAUGGUAUCAGAGCCUCUACGAUCUUGGUAAACAAUCAAAGAGCUUCCGCUGCCGGUGGGCGGCUAUUAUCCAUAUAUGCCGCCCGUCCGGCCAACGAUUAUGUUAGCAAAAUUUGGGUCACUGUGUAUCUUUCCGAUGACUAUUUUCUCAUAUCUAAUUUGUGUAGCACCAUGCCAUCAUUUUGGUGACUACUUACUUAUAUCUAAUUUGUGUAGCACCGUGCCAUCAUUCCGGUGACUACUUUUUCAUAUUUAAUUUGUGUAGCACCGUGCCAUUCAUCCGAUGACUACUUUCUUAUAUCUAAUUUGUGUAGCACCGUGCCAUCAUUCCGAUGACUACUUUCUUAUAUCUAAUUUGUGUAGCACCGUGCCAUCAUUCCGAUGACUACUUUCUUAUAUCUAAUUUGUGUAGCACUAUGCCAUCAUUCCGGUGACUACUUUUUCAUAUUUAAUUUGUGUAGCACCGUGCCAUCAUUCCGGUGACUACUUUCUUAUAUCUNNNNNNNNNNNNNNNNNNNNNNNNNNNNNNNNNNNNNNNNNNNNNNNNNNNNNNNNNNNNNNNNNNNNNNNNNNNNNNNNNNNNNNNNNNNNNNNNNUUUUUCAGUAGGGUUGUGCCAUCAUUCCGACCCUACCCAUAUUAUUUCUCUUUUUCAAUAGGGUCGUUCCAUCAAUUCGAUCUAUCCUAUAUAAAAAAAAAUUCUAGUUAGGUCGUGACAUCAUUCCGACCCUACCCAUAUAAUUUAUUUCUUAGAUUGUGACCACUUUUANNNNNNNNNNNNNNNNNNNNNNNNNNNNNNNNNNNNNNNNNNNNNNNNNNNNNNNNUUUGUUGCUCAGGGGGAGUUUAGUAGCCUUGUAUGUUGAUUACGUAAGUCACUCUAUGGUCUGAAACAGUCUUUGCAAGCUUGGUUUGGGAAGUUUCAACACUGUAAUUUUAUCACUCCGUAAUUUAUCGGCAUUAUGCAUCAAAUUCAGUAUUUCAUGAGAAGACCAAGCACAUUGAGAUUGAUUGUCAAUUUUGUGAAGUCGAGUGAUCAACUUGCAGAUAUCUCACUAAGCCCCUCAUCGGUUAUUAGAAUAGGAAUAGGUUUAUACAAUCCUAUUAGAAUAGGAAUAGGUUUAUACAAUCCUAUUAGAAUAGGAAUAGGUUUAUACAAUCCUAUUAGAAUAGGAAUAGGUUUAUACAAUCCUAUUAGAAUAGGAAUAGGUUUAUACAAUCCUAUUAGAAUAGGAAUAGGUUUAUACAAUCCUAUUAGAAUAGGAAUAGAUUUAUACAAUUCUAUUAGAGUAGGAAUAGUAAUAGAAAUAGGAAUACUAAAUAGUAUCCUACUUGGUAAAUGAUUGUAUUCUAGGGUCUAUAAAUAGGGUCUCAAUGUAAUAAUGUAGAUACAACAACAAUUCAAUAAUAUUAUUUUCCUAUAUUUCUCACAACAAAGAAAUAAUAUCUCCUUUAUUGCUUCUAAUUAAUAUAAACUAUAGGUUCAAUUCUAUCAUAUUGACACCACAUCUACAUGAUUCUACCAUAUAUACACAAUAUACUUAACAUUGUCCUUUAAGAUGGUGCAUACAAGUCAUACGUAUCAAGCUUCUUAUAAAUGCAACUAAUUUGGGGACCAGUAAGGUAUUUGGUGAAAAUAUCCUCAAGUUGAUCAUUUGAUUUCAAGUUUUGUGAGAAUAUCUCUUAAGUUGAUGCCAUAUGCAAGCAACUUGAUCAUCCACACAAUCUGAUUGAUUUGUCUAAACUUCAAUCCUUUGAUCAACUAUUUGAUCCAAACUAGUUUGCAAGUUGCCAAUUACCGCGCUCAGCUCAGCAGUCUAGCAGGUUCAUUUUAUCCACAUGAGUCGAAUCCCACUUUUCCCAGGCACUUAAGGCAUCUCCAACCCGAACACCAAAUUUGGUCAUCACUAUUUUUGGUGUAAUCAACUCCAACCCACUGCAUCAAAUUUUACACCAAAAAAGAAUAUUUUUCUUUCUUCAUUAUUAUAUUACUAGGUAAAUUAUCCGUGUUUUGCACGGGAUUGAACUAUUUUAUUAAGCUUACAUAUGAUCAUUCGGUAACAUUCGUAUUUUCAAUACAUACACUAUAUUGUCAAGAACAUAAUAACUAAUUUUUUAUCUCAGAAUAGUCAUUACUAUUGCUUAGGUUUCAUAUCACCGGCCCCAACUUAUUUGGAAUUGAACCAUAGCUAUUGUUAUGGUUAUAGUAUGCAGUUACAAAGAAUUAAUGCAAUUAUCAACCAAGCAGUAGGUGACAUCUGAAUGGAACGGUUAACAACUGGAUAUUCUAAACCAAAAUUUUGACACAUAACAUAUUAAAAUCUUACAUCAUAGUUUUGUAAGCACUUGAACUCACAAAUAUCCACAAAUAAUAAUAAAGAUGACCUUACUUUCCUAACAAUCAAGAGAAAAAGGUAUGUUGCUCAACAUAUAUUUCAAAAAGAUAGUCUGUCGAGCCGUAUCCAAGUUUACAUUUGACAAAUUAAAAUUGAAAGAAGCUAAAAGAAAGAGUUAUUACUUCAUUAUAAAAAAACAAAAAACUUAAUCAAAAGAAAGAGUUAUCACUACAACAAAAAUUAUCUUUAACGGCAAUUAAUAGCUUAAUUGUCUCUAAAUAUGAAUUUUCAGAGGCGAUUGGUACUCUCUAUAUAUGUCCCUAAAGUCUAUAGCAACAUUCAAUGUAAUGACAAUUAAUUAAUGUCGGUAAAGGCUCUAGCACUCUUUGUUAAUGUACAUAUUUAUUGCCGGUAAAAAUUAUUUUUGUUAUAGUGUAUUUUGGAAAUUUGUUAGUUUCAAGAAAUUUUAAAUCUCUUAUUAUGCCCAAAAAGAAGAGACAGAGAAAUAUGACAAAUUAGUUAACUUGCGAUAAAAGUAGUGGACUAAUUGUCUCUAUACUAAUACUCUAGGAAGAGUGCAAUGACAUACAAAAUGUUUGUACCUAAGAAAAAACAAUCAAAAUAAUAUACUAACUCUGGCAACCAAGAGAGCGAUCUGUUUGGUUCUUUUAACAAACUUCUUCUUUGGUUCCAUAUUAGUUAUCACAGAUUUGUUGUUGUGUGCUAUCAAAUAUAGCACAACCCACAAGCAAUUUUCCCAAAAAGUAUAUGAAGAAACCUUUAGAAAGGGACAAAAGAGAAGAUAAAUUUUCAAUCAUCCUCACAGGAAUUUUUAAUAGAGUUAAAAAAAGUCACCAAAAUAGCAAAAAGAAAUUGCAAUAUACAUGAAUCACUAUGACUUACAGUAAAAGAUUAAGUUUCAUGAAAUAGGAGGAAGAAAACUUUGAGGAAUGAAACACACUUCAUAAGAAGCUUGAAUAAUGUAUUUGAAUUCGACUCCCCAAUAGCAAAAAAAAACUGCAAAUAAUAGUGGAAAAAAUAAAAGUUUUGUUUAUUAAAGAACAAAAUGUAAUGAAUUCAACCAUUUCAGCAGCGUUUUGAGUUUUGGACUGAGAGGUGCAAGAGUAGUAAUAUCGCGUUGCAAUUAAAAUCACUUUUCUUUGUUUAUAUGAAGAAACUUGUAGAAAGGGACCAAAGAGAAGAUCAAUUUUAAAUCAUCCUUGCUGAAAUUUUUAACAUAGUUUUAAAAAAGUCACCAAAAUAGCAAAAAGAAAUUGUUAUAGUUACAUGAAUCACUAUGAUUUAUAGUAAAUAUUAAGCUUCAUGAAAUAGGAGGAAAAAAACUUUGAGGAAUGAAACAAACUUCAUAAGAAGCUUAAUUCAUGUAUUUGAAUUCGACUACCCUAUAGUGGAAAAAACCUACAAAUAAUAGUGGCAGGAAAUCCCUCUAUUAUAUACAACAAAGGGUAGUGUGAACAAAUGUUUAUUGUGUCUUAUCGAAAAGGUCACAACUCUUUGGAAAAGUUAUAACCUUUCAGAAAUGUCACAAACUUUCAUAAUAGUCACAACUCUUCAUAAAAGCCACAAUUCUUCAUAAAAGUCACAACUUUUCAUAAAAGUUACAACUUUUCGUAAAAGUCACAACUAUUCAUAAAAGUUGCAACUUUUCUAAAAUUCACAACUUUUCGUAAAAGUCACAACUAUUCAUGAAAGGCGCAACUUUUCUAAAAUUCACAACUUCAUAAUUUUUUAAAUAAUAUAAAUUGCUAGCAAAUAUUAUACAUAAUAAUGGAUAAUACAAAUAAAAGUGAAAUCGUUAAUGAAAUACAAUUAAAUAAACAUUACAUAAUUUUUUUUUUGAUGCAGAUUGAAGUCGUACAACCAAAUCUUUACUUGAAAAAACAAACUUAAUAUGAGUAAGUAUAAUUAGAAUUAUUUUGCUGGUGAGUUUGAGAGUUGGUUAGAAGUAGUAACACCAUGUAAUAUUGUCUUGUAAAUAUUUAUAUAGCAUUUCAAAAUUGGAAUUUAAAUUAUAAAAAUAUAUAUUUAAAAAAAAAGGAUUGGCCGACAGCCCACAUAGUGAUGGGUUGGGCUGGUUAACAUAAACUGAUAAAUAAUGAAGCUAGUUAACUAAAAUAGAAAAAACAAUAAUAGUGCGGACUUGUGGUAAUGCCUUGUGCUUGUAUUGAUCCAUAUAUCUAAGGUAUGUUAACAUUGUAAAGUAUCAAAAGAAUACUAUAAGACCAUCUCCAACCCAACACCAAAUCCUAAAUUUGGUGUUUUGAGCUCCAACCCACACCAAUUUUUACACCAAAUUUGGUGUGUGAAUAGUGUUACACCAAAUUUGGUGUAACACUAUUCACACACCAAAUUUGGUGUAAAAAUUGGUGUGGGUUGGAGCUCAAAACACCAAAUUUAGGAUUUGGUGUUGGGUUGGAGAUGGUCUUAUAGUAUUCUUUUGAUACUUUACAAUGUUAACAUACCUUAGAUAUAUGGAUCAAUACAAGCACAAGGCAUUACCACAAGUCCGCACUAUUAUUGUUUUUUCUAUUUUAGUUAACUAGCUUCAUUAUUUAUCAGUUUAUGUUAACCAGCCCAACCCAUCACUAUGUGGGCUGUCGGCCAAUCCUUUUUUUUUAAAUAUAUAUUUUUAUAAUUUAAAUUCCAAUUUUGAAAUGCUAUAUAAAUAUUUACAAGACAAUAUUACAUGGUGUUACUACUUCUAACCAACUCUCAAACUCACCAGCAAAAUAAUUCUAAUUAUACUUACUCAUAUUAAGUUUGUUUUUUCAAGUAAAGAUUUGGUUGUACGACUUCAAUCUGAAAAUCACUGAUCCUUUACAAAUACUUCGGGUACACCAUACAAGAAAAUGAUCUUGUCGGACAUAAAGUUUUUGCGAAAUUAAAUAACUUUCGACUUGAUACCAUUCGAAAAUUUAGGAUUUUGUGUUUUUGUUAUUUACAUAUUUUAUAAACUUAAGUUUGUAUUUUAAUUUUAAUACUUGGGUUUUGGACUUUGUAAUAUCAAUAAAUGAUGGUUUAAAUAGACUUUGAGUUUGGACUCCUCUUGUUAUUUUGAAAACCUGGCUUUUUCUCAAUUAUUUAUUCUUUAUUUAUCCAAUGGGACGGCCUAGUCCACCUCGCUCAAGCCUCGCGAGCUACUGGGAUUACUUUGGCCGGGCUAAGAAAAUGUGCUCUUAAAUUGGAUCCAGAAAUCACAAUCCAACCAUAUUAAAUCACGGGUUGAGCUGGGCCGGCCCAACGAGCCUAGCCUAUAUUGAGUGCUCUUUACUUUCAUCUUGUACCUCGCAUAAAAUAAUACAUAAUUUUCUCAUAACUUAUACAUGUAUUAGUUAUGUGUAAAAGAAAAGCAUGAGCCAGGCAUUGUAUUAGCAAGGCAGUAUUUUAUGUGGAAAAUAGAAAACACCAAACAAAAGUUGUAUAACUUAUGCUAAAUUCUAUGUGGAGAAUAUUUUUUCCAUUUUUGUAACCAAACAAUGUAUAAAAGUUAUGCUAGUUUUAAUACAUUAGUAACUCAUCUCUAAUCAACAACCAAACGACCUGAGUGAUUAAGGGGAGAGCUGAUCGUGUUAAUUGACUAGCAUGAUUAUAACAGAUAUUGUCUUUCCCGUAAUUAGUUACAGGUUUUAUCGUAUAACUACCCCUUCUCAUGGGAUGUAAAAAUAUAAAGAAGCCUUCUCUUCUUUCUCAAAUUCUUCAGCUUUAUUCUUGUAUCAUUUAAAGCAUUUCCACUUUCCAUUUUGUUUCAGAUUUGUUGUACAAAGCCAAUAUUAAUACUGGAAGUGUGUUGGAAUAUGCCCUUGCUUUUACAAGUGCUGCAUUAGAUAAAUACUGCAGUAAAUGGAGUGCAGCCCCAAAGACGGGUUUUAUUGAUAUUACUACUUCAAAGGACUUCUACCGGAUUUUCAGUGGACUUCAAAUCGUAAGAUACAAUAGUUCAUUUGCUUCAUUUAUUUUAUAAAAUUUCAUUGCACUUAUAAUUGCCUAUUUUAAUUGGUUUUGAACACUGAUGAUAUCUCAAUAUAGCAAAUUGUUGUGCACACGUCAUGUUGGUCUCUGGUUACAAAUUUACCUGAUUAAUACAUCAGCAAGAACUAUCAGUUGGACUGUCAUGGUUUAUGUUGAAUCCCUGCAACUUAUUACAACUUAUUACCUGUAGCUUUUUCUGAUUGAGAAAAGAAUACCUCUGUCCCUUUUGUUUGACCUUUUUCCUACUUUCGUCUAAUAGAGAGUCAAGUGUUUAGUGUUAGAGUAGAGUGUCAGAAGAAUUGUGUUCUUAUGUUAUAUGAACUUGUUUAGUAAUCUGAUAGUCAGAGAUAAUGGAAUUAUCUUUGGUGUAAACUGUUGAUCUGAUUUUGUUGUCAACCAUAGGAAUACCUGGAGGAAUCUGUUCAGCUACAAUCCAACACUUACGAAAUGUUGGGCGAUUCAGUUGCCUGGGGUGGAUGUACAAUAAUCUACCUGCUUGGGCAACAAUUGCAUUUUGAAUUGUUUGAUUUUUCCCAUCAAGUCCUCAAUGUUGCUGAGGUGGAGUCUGUAGCAAUAUCGCCAACACAGAAGAAUCCUAAUUUCCUCCAGGUAUGAUUUGCAAAUUAACCAAUUAAAUAAUGUUUUGAGUUAUUUUGAACAUGUAGAACUGCAUCUGUAAGAAUCAAAACUCUACUGCAUGUUCUCCUCUUCAUGAUGGUUUAUAUUUAAUUUAACUAAAAUCAUUGGAAAUAGUGUCAAUUUUUUUUUUUGUUGUGACAACUUACUUGGAGCACAAUCAUUCCACUCACUGCUUUCUUUCUAUCUCUCUCUCUCUCUCUCUCUCUCUCUCUAUAUAUAUAUAUAUAUAGUAUAUUUAAUUAAUGGCUGAUUCAGUAUAGGUACCCAACUUCUUAUUUCGUAUAGCCAUCUCUCCUACAUAAUGUUAAUGACCCCAAAACUGAGUGAAUUGCGAAGGUGAACCGGGAGCACAUAUUGUGUUUUCUAUUUUAUGCCUUUCCGCAGCUAUCUGUCAUUGGGAACUGGGAGUUGGGCUUUUUGGUGAUAUGCUGAAAGACAUUUAAAUGGGUUUUCUGCAUCAUGCUUUUGUCACGAUCCAUUUUGCCUAAGCCAUGAUGAUACCUAACCCCUUGUUAGGCGAACCCAUUAUCAUGCAAAGUCCAUUUGCAGUUAUGAAAAGACAGUAUUAAGCUUUGAAAGCAGAUAUUUAACCAAAGCAGAGUUAUAAAGUCAAACGUGCGGAAAUAAAAUAAACACCCCCCAAGAAAUGGUGGUACAAGUCAUGAGCGUCUAAAAAGAGUAAAUACAGUUGAACCUAGAAUCUGUGUGCUUUGAUAUCUUGUGAAAAUAUCAGAGCAUACAACUCUAAGCCUAAGAGGAAUUGGUAUAAUAGCCAAGGUCUUUAUAAACCCUUAUGGAAGUCCUACACAACUCAUAUGAAACCACUAUAUAACUCAACAGUUCCAGGACCUUAUCUGUGAUCUGGAUAUAUUUUAAGCAAUCACUAUAGGAAGGUUGGUAAACCUAGCAAAUGAGAUUAAGCAGAAUCAAAAAUCUUAAGAAAGAUAUCAUGUGUUUGUUAAAGGGGUGCAAUUAUGCUCCUGAAAGUUUUAUAUAAGAUCUAUAAACAACAAUGCUUUAAUCCUGAACUAGUAGUGGCCCCUGGGCCUUCUGCUCUUCGAACGUAAAAGGUGGCCAAGCCAAACGGGCGUAUGGCCUUGCCUUGCCAUUUGACCUCUUUUCCCGUGUGACUAGGAAUGCUCAGUGACAACCUCUCAAUUGUCACCGCCUGGCCUCUCUUGCUACCACGGUAGCACCUAGUGUGGUCAGCACCAAUCGUGUUCGGGCAACGAAGCUUACACUCAUUCACAUUGGUUCAUCCUGCUAUGCCCUGGGCCUUUUGCUCUUCUAACGUAAAAGGUGGCCGGCCAUUCGUCAAGGCCCAGGAAUCCGCUGGACAUCUCAGCGGCGGGAUCUAGGCAUAUGAAUCUUCUAUGUGUAUUCCACUCUAUUUGCCUGAUUCAUUCCAAUGCUGAAUAAUCUGUCUUUUAAGAUGAAUUUGGGGGUUUCUAAAAUUAGUACUUUAGACCUCACAUAUGUAAAUCUCUAACCAAACUAAAAAGACUACCAACAAGUACCAGAUCCUAGUCCCAACUAAUUCAUAUUGCUUACUUCGACAACUAAUGGACAUUUCACAUCCUCUUCAGUUCUCUUUUAUCGCUAUUGUUUACUCUCAGUUUGAUAAGUAGAAUAUCAUAUAUUUGACAUCCAACAUCACUUUCUAUCUUCAGGGUAUUGAAGGUUUGCUGGAAGCUAUGAAGAAAGCAAGGAGGCUAAACAACCAUGUGUUUUCAAUGUUGAAAGCACGCUGUCCAUUGGAAGAUAAACAGGCUUGUGCCAUCAAACAAAGUGGUGCACCGCUGCAUCGGAUAAAAUUUGAGAAUACUGUGUCCGCUUUUGAAACAUUGCCACAGAAAGGUGCCUGAGGUCUGCUUCCAUUUUCAUUGCAGGAGCUUGCAUGUAUGACCCUUGUUAUUGUGUAUGUAAUAUAUGUUUAUUGAUGUACUUAUUGCUCUGAGAAUGAAGAUGCUACUUGUUGGGUGAUGGUAUAGAUAUAGAUAUUGUAAAAUUAAGAACUGAACAUCUAAUGAUCCAAUCAACAGAUAAUAGAGAAAGAGCAGCAUAUGACUGUCAGAUUCGUCAAUCUGCCACUUGUUUCUCUUUCAGCUGUUAAUGUUUUCCACAGCUUGAUGGAUAAUUUGAUAGGCCAAUGAUUCUUUUUCAUGUUUUAAUGUUUGGGAAAAUGCCCAAGAAGAUGAAUGAAUUUCUGAGGUGCGUGAAUGCACAAAUGAUAAUUGAUUUGAAUUCAUAGGAAAAGAGAACCUUCAUUUCCUACGAAUUGUGUCCAAAUUAACUUUGUUUUUUACAUAAAUCUGUAAAUGUGAAUGCAUUGUGUCAUCAACCAUUAUAUAUCGGAUACCAUUGAUACAAUUUAGGGAGAAUUACAUCUCAAAACUAGCUAUUGAGAUCAGAGAACCCAAAACUAUAUAAAUUCCACAUCAAUAUCGAUAAGGGACUCAAGUCUCAUACUUUGCAACGGACUGUAACAAAUAACCUCUUCCACUUCCAUUCCCAUAACAUUUUUCAUGAAAAGUAUCUUUUGAGUACAUGUCAAUCUUCUUUCUUUUUCUUCAGACAAAGCUUAAUCAUUUAGGGUAAAACAGCUUUUUACAUUGACAAAUCUGAACUGGCUAAAGCUGGAGUGUACUAACCACAAAUGCUUUAAUGAUACCUUUUCCAUGAUUGAAGGAAGUAUUUUUCAGGUGGAAUACUUGACUUAUUUUUGUCGUUGUCAAGAAUCAACAACUAAACCAGACUUUGAUCAAUUUUGUUUUUACACAAAUUUAAUUGCUCUAAAUAAUUUUCAAAUCCUGAUUUAAAUUUAAUUAGCAGCCUAAAAAGAGGUGUCUAUUCUCCCCUAGUGAUACACAAACAUAUAAAUGCCUUAAUUAGAUCCACACAAGCUUGUUGUGGUAUCAUUAAUCAAUUAUCCCAAACCAUUACCAAUUCCAAUAACAUUUACUUGGAUAAUAUGUUGAAGAGUUAGGCAAGAUGAUCAACUGUGACAUUCAAUGUUUUUCUUUAAAUUUUUUCAAUAAUAAAGGAGUACAAUAAAUGUGAGACACAUACAUGAGUUGUGUUUUACACAAAGUUAUUACAUUCCACCUAACUUUAUACUUGGCCCUUUUUCUAUAAUAAUGAAUACUCUCCUCCACCACUCAAAAGAAUUUAAUAUAAAAAAAUAUCCAGCUACUGUUUGAGUCAUUUACAACAAAUUGUUUUUUUUCCAAUUGGCAAUUUCACUUUUUAGGAAAUUAAUUUUUGCACUUUGCAAGUUAGGUGUGCAAUGUCCUAAUGUAUUGAACUUAUUUUAAACACCCAAGAUUACUCCUAUGUUCCUUCUUUGUGAUCUUUAGCAGUGCUUUUUUUUCUUCCUAGCUAACAAGACUUUUGUUGUGAAAUUAGAAAAAUACAUCAACUACCAACAUUAUUAACGUCCACCAACUACAAAAGGUGAAAAACACCUAUUCACAUUAAAUUGUUAAAGAUAUUGGUCUUUGUUAAAUGGGGGACCAAUUAUUAAACAUGAUAUAAUGAUUAGCUCUUAAGGAAACAUGUCAAACUAAAAAGGGUGUGUUUAAUUGGUAGGAAGAAAAAUGUUUGUCACACAACAUGUUGUCUUGGAUAAUAUAUUUAUGGAAAAUAAGUGAUUUUUUAUUUAUUUUUUGUGUUUAGUAUGUAAGCAAAAAAGAUAAUCCCAAAAGUAUUGAAUUGAAUGUUUGAAUGGUCCGUUAACUUAUAGUAACUGAUCAUAAAAGUCACUCUACUUUGUUUUACUUUUUAAAAGUCAUCCAACUUUGUCUAGUUAGCUUUCAGAGUCAUUUAAUUGAAAAUAUAAAUUUGUAGGAAAAAAUAUUUCAAAAAUUAAGAUCAAUAUUUGGAUUUAUUUUGGACCCUUCCCCGCUUAAAAUGAAUUGACUAUAUAAAAAUGCUCUUAAUAACGUUUAACAACAAAAAUAUGAUGGUUAAAUAUUAUUAAGGGAAUCUCUAAUAUUUAAAAUGUUAGAAAUUAAAGAACCAUCAUAUUAUUUUAGUUAGUCGUUAUUAAAGGUAUUUCUUAUAUAAUCAACUCAUUUUUUUAAGGUCAGGUCACGAAUUGGAAUAAAUUUAGGGUGAGUUGGGUCCUCAAUAAAAUUGCAUAUUGAUUUUAAUUUUUUAAAAUAUUUUUUUUCUAAAAAAUUACAUUUGUCAUGUCAUUAAAUAGUUACCAAAAUAUAUAUCUUUUUUUUUAUUAAAAUGACCAUGAAAGCUAAUUAAGCAAAGUUGAAUGAGUUUAGUGGUCAAUUAUUAUAAAUUAAGUGGCCAUCUAGACAUUCAACUCAAAAAUAUUUAUAUAUAAUCUAGAAAAACACUAUAAGGUGGAUGAGGAUAAGGUGUUGGGGUGGAAGGAGGGGGUAGAUUCGCAAUAUUGUCACAAUCUGAGUCUACAUCGUGGACAUGGCUGGUACUCAAAAUCAUUGUUGAUCCGAGCGAACCCUUGGCUUGACAUACUUUAAAACUAAAUACUGACUAGUGCGGAAGCUUUUAAAAGAUGAUCAUGCAAUAUAAUAACUUAGAAAAAAACUCAACAACUUUAUACAUAAAAGUCUGAAAUAUGUAUAGUAGGGGUGUACAUGGCCGGGUUGGUUCGGGUUUUUCAAAUAGCAAACCAAACCAUUUGUGUCGGAUUUUUAAAUUUAUAAACCAAAUCAAACCAAUAAAACUCGGGUUUUUCAACCUCGGGUUUUUUCGGGUUUUUCGGGUUUUUCCAGUAAAAUAUUCAUACAAACAUAUAAUUUACUUGUACUUCAAAUAUUUCUUUAGUCCUACCAAAAUACAACUAUCUAAGAUGUUUCUUAAAAAUAUAACACAAUAUGAUAUGAUUAAUGACACUAAAAUCCAACAAAAAUAAUAAUAAUGAAAUCCCGUAAAACAAAUAUUGCAAAUUAACAAGUCAUAAUGAAAAUGAUCAUAAUUUAAAAGUACUAAAUCAUGCUAAAAUAAGUAUACUAAGUAUUAGUUAUAUGACUAAAUAUUAAAGGAAAUUAAAAUUAGAUUAUGUAUUUGAAUNNNNNNNNNNNNNNNNNNNNNNNNNNNNNNNNNNNNNNNNNNNNNNNNNNNNNNNNNNNNNNNNNNNNNNNNNNNNNNNNNNNNNNNNNNNNNNNNNNNNNNNNNNNNNNNNNNNNNAUUUUGAUUUAAGCUUUAUUAUAAUUACCAACAUCUGUGGACUAUAAUCUUUAUUGGCCCAUUCAUAAUUCUAAGUUUCAAACUUGAAAUAAUAUAUUAAAAGAUAAAAACUAUGAAAAAGUAUAAGAAAUAUUUAAAAAUUAUAUCAAAGUAAAUAUUUUUAUGUAUAAAAUAAAAUUUUAAAAUUAUAUAUAUAAUGUCGGGUUGGUUUUUUUUAGUUUAAACCAAACCAACCCAAAUAUAGUUGGGUUUUUUUUUCAAAACCAAACCAAGUCAAACCAAACCACUAGUCGGAUUUUUUUUCGGGUUGACUCGAUUUGUGGUUUGGUUCGGUUUUCGGUUCGAUUUUGUACACCCCUAAUGUAUAAUAUGCAUAUACUUAUAAAAAGUACAACUAUGAUCAUAACUCAACUAAACCCUCUAACAUACUUAAGAAAGAUUAUUCGGACAAGACCCUUGGCUACCUGAACUCUACUAAUAAUAUAAAUAACUAUUAAUACUCAAGAUAAAUUAGAGCUCUACGAAAGUAAGGAGGUCUCAUCAUAUUUGGAUGAACGUGAUCCUAAUGAUGUGUCUCUCUUCCAUCCUGAAUACCUGAGUAUGCAUCGUUAAAAGUUGCAGCGUCGAAUGACGUCAGUACAUGAAAUGUAUGAUAUGUAAAAUAGUUGAAUGAAACACUAGCUAAAAUUGAAAAUGAUGAGCUAAAUGAAUAGCUCUGAAGAUAGACUGAAAUAAAGUCAACUGAGUAGUAUGAAAUAUGAUUUUCAAAUUAAAGGUUGGGAAAUAUUCUAAAACUGAAUAAUAGAAACAUGACGUCUGCAUAUCUAAGAUUUAGAAAAGAGAAACAUCAAAUAGUGUGCAAGAUGCUUAAAAAUACUUUUAUCAUCUGAUGAUAAAGUAAAAUCGGUUUUAUAACUUAAACUGAAAACAUGUCUAAAAACUAUAUAUGUUACUGCAUAAAUAAUCAUAUAUGUUCAAACUAUAAAAGUAUGUAUAUGAUCUUUAAGUUAGAAUUUCUUACAACUGACAUAAAUAAUGUGAGCUCAUGAGGCACUAACUUACAAUCCCAAUUGGGGAAGGCUGCCUUAUACUUUGACAGUGUAUGAAACCUAUCUAGCUAGUGUGGAUUCACAUGCAAAAUGGUGAAACAUAUGGUAUCACAUAGUUCUGAAACUUGGGCUCUAGAGCCUUCGUUCGCUCGGUGCUAAAUAAUCCUCUCAAAAUAAUCUAUAUAUGCUCAUAUAUAAUAUGUCAUGAAAACUUAACUGAAAUCAUAUUGUGAGUUUUUGCUCAAAUUUGUAAAAUUGUACUGUUGGUGAGACUAAGCUCACAACUAUAGCAUACUGAUGUUUUGAGUUUUCAGGAUAAAGGAAAAUUUUCUUUGAAACCAUAUCUAUUUGUAAUGAAGAGUUGUAAACUUUCGUAUUUUGCAGUGGCUAAACUUUCUUCAAAACAUAAUCUUUACAAUUAGGUAACAUAAAAACAUAAUUUCCUAAACUCUUUCCUGAAUAAUGCAUUUAAAACUAAAAAUAAGAAUAAGAAUAUAUAUAUUUUUAUAAUACUUCUGAAAAAUCUUAAACAUAGAUCUUUAAUAUACAUGAAACCCUUUUUUGCUACCCAAAAUUCAAUGUAUUUUUCUAUUAAAAGUGACUUUGUACACAAAUAUAAUAUUUGAUGUAGUGCAUUAUUUGUCCAACAAGAUCUUGUGAGAUUUCAGAGUUCAACACUUAAAUCUCACAAGAUCUUUUCCAUAAUAAAAAAAUGAAUUGUGCUACAAGAUCUUUCUUCUUCAUUGAUUUUGCUAUAUCACUGACUAUUAAUUGUACGAUAUUGAUACAUAAAUUUUUAUGUUGUUACCAACUCUUUUCACUUGAAUACAUUGAUGUAAAUACAUUCUUGUGAUAAAUACACUAUAGAAACACUCAAAUAUAUUGAUGCAAAUGUAUAACAGGGAACAUAUACAUUGAAACACAUGAUACAAAUAUAAAACAAGGAACUAAUACACUAAAAUACAUUGAUAUAAAUUUAUAACAAAUCACAGAUACACUCGAAUACAUUAAUACAAAACAAAUAACAAUGAGCAGAUACACUUGGUACAAAUGCAUAAUCAGUAGAAAAUACAAAUAAAUACACUUGAUACAAAAGUAUAACAAGAAACAUAUACACUUGAAUAAAUUGAUACAAAUUUAUAAUCAGUUAUAGAUGCACUCAAAUACAUUGAUACAUCAUGAAUAAUAAGGACCAUAUAUACUUUAAUUGGUUCUUCAAAUACAUUCAUGUGAUGAAUACACUAUAGGAAUAUUCAAAUACAUUGAUAAAAAUGUAUAACAAUUAACAAGGAUACUCAAAUACAUGAAUACAAUACAUAUACAAGUGCAUUAAUAUAUUAAUACAAUACAUAUAUGGGUGUGUUUGAUUCUAAAUCCACCAAAUCUACCUCAAAUUUACACUAAAAUCCUUCAAACUAAAGAUAUGAACUCCUCGUUAAAUGUCCAAUCUUUCAAAAUAUCACUCAUUUAAUUCUUACAAUAAUUUCAUCAUAAAGCCGCAAUUUGAACUUAAACUUCAAAACGUUCUCUUAUGGUUGUCAACGGAGUUUCACAAACCAUCACGAUUAAUGCUUUAUCGGAGCAAGGGAGAGAAAGCAUGGCAUCGUUGAGUUUGAAUUUGGAGUGCAUUCGAAGAAUCAUCCAUGAAAAAAAAGGAGGAAAAUCAUUCAUAAAAAAGAAAGAAUGUUGCUAAUUUUGGGAGAGAGAAGAGGAAGGAAAGAUAAUUGACAGAUAUAAUGCUUAAAAUAGUCUUGAAAUACGUUCAUUGAAAGAUACACUUUUAAAUUGAUAGCUAUUAAAUAAAUAAUGUAGCUGUAAAUUAUAAAAAAAAAUUAAAACUAUAGUUGUGUAUACAUUGUUUAGAACUACAAUUGUGUACAUUAAACGUAACAUAUACUCCCUCUCUUUAAAAAAGAAUGACAUUUUUUCCUUUUAGACUGUUUAAAAAAGAAUGACCUUUUCCUUUUUAUGGUAACAUUUUAAUUUCAGUUUUUCACACAACAUGUUUAAAGCCACAAGAUUAAAGAGCAAUUUUGUACAUUUGACAUAACUUUAAUUUAGGAUCACAAGAUUCAAAAGUCUUCUUUAUUUUCUUAAGCUCCGUGUCAAGUCAAACUAAGUCAUUCUUUGUGAAACGGAGGGAGUAUUUGUUUUACUAUGUACUUUUUCUCUAGUUUGACUUGGCACAAAAUUUAUGAAAAUAAAAGAAAAAAUUGAUCUUAAAUAUGUUGAAAUUAAAGUGUUGAAAAAAAUGAGUUAUUUUUUUUAAAACUGACUAAAAAGAAAAAUAGAUGUUUCGAACCGGAGUAUCUCUUUUGUUUUUUCAUUUACAUUUGCCAAACCAUUGUGAGGUCAAAGUCAAGAGGGAUAUUUACUGUCAGCUUCUUCAUUCUCCUCUCCUACAUUGUUGGCUCCAUACUCCAUGGCCACUUUAAUUAUUAACAACUACUAUUUGAAUGCACUACUCUCACUAUAACUAUUUCUCUAAAAAACUUUCAAAAGUGCAACACACAUCACAUAUAUUUUUUUUCCAUUUGUCAAAUCUCACAUACAUUUUUUUCUCUCUCUUUGUAUCGUCAUGUCUUCGAAAAGUGCAAAUGGUUACACCAUUAACAACAGCUCCCCGCCGACAUCUCCGCGGAACCGGCAAAAUUGCCGGAGGAGAUUACGCCGGCGGGGAAGUUUUGCAAUGUUGCACCGGCGGAAUUUUCUGCUGCUUGUCUCUGUUCUAUACUUAACGGGAUUGAUCAGCUGCGUUGGCCCCCUGUUUUCCCUGCUGCAAUAUUCUGGUUUAGCAACUGGUGCUGUUUAUCGUAGUCAUGAGAUUUUUCAGAAGCUUUGGACUGAUAUUGAAGCUGAUAAUUCUUCUUCAAUUCAGGUAAUUUUGCUCCUUUCAUAUAUUAGCAGAUCUAAACUGAUGAUUUUUUCCUGUUUUCGGAAUUCGUGAAAACCCUAUUCAACUUUACUUUUUGAAAAGCAAAAGGAAGAAGAGGAAAUUAGUGUUAGUUGUUUUAGUUGAGUACAAAUGGUAAUUUAGCAAGACUCACAUUUUCAAUUUUACUUGAUAUUUUAGUGUAUCAAGAGAAAAAAAAAUAUUAGAUUUUUUUUUUUACAUUUUAACCAUUAAUAUUAGUUACUUAUUCUUCAAAUUAUCUCACAAGAGCUAAAACUAAAUAUUAAUUAAUCUAUGUGAAUCCAAAGUUCAAAUUGGACAACUAAGAGUGAAUGGAGAGAGUAUUUUUUGUCACUUUCUGUGAUGGUCCAAAAUUGUUGUUUCAUUAUGAUUUAAGCACUUCUGUGAUGGUCAAUUCUCUUGAACUUUAACAUGAAUUUAUUAGACCUUUUUUUUGGAUGCUUUGAAAGCAAAAUGUAACUUCUUUCUAAAUUAAAUACUACUCCUUUUAGUGACUAAUUUUUCCACGUCUGAUGUCACUUUGAGAAGUCGAAAAAAAAUCACUUACUAGGAAUCAAAUUGAAUUCUGGAAAAGCACACUGAAAAAGAAAAUAAUCUUGUUGGGCCCUGCAACCAUUCGGAUUUAGUCGGGCUCUAAUGUGGGCUCCGUACAUCGGGGUGGAAAAAAAAAACAAAGUAAAUUUUAGGAAUAUCAAACAUAAAAAUCACAUUAGCGUUCUAUAGCUACAAUUUUGUUACUUGCGUUUCAUAGCAAAGGCAUCUGACUCGCAGACAUCUGAUUUGUAUUAGAUCACAAUGAUUUGUAUAAAUCAGACGUCUGUGUCUAUAAAAAUUGUGUUUGCAUAUAUAUAUGUUCUUUAUGUUAGGCUAGAGUGGCGAGAGAGAUUAGGAAAGAGGAGAGCGAGAGAGGACAGAGAGUGGAGAGAGGUAAAUUAUAUAUGUAUAUCGGUUAGAUAAUUGUGUAUAUGUAACUACUAUAUAUAUGUAUCAAUGAUUGUGUUUGUAUAUCUGUAUAAAAUUUAAAUUUGUAUACAAUUGAAUUGAGUUAAAACCUUCGUAUUUGUAUUUGUAUAUCAAAUCUCGCUGUCACUUUAUACAAACACAAAUUGUACAUUGUAUUUGUAUAAUUUGGGUUUGUAUAAAGCGAGAGAGAGAGAGAGAAAGGCAAAAGAGAACUGAGCAGCAAAAGAUUUGUAUUAGUAUAAUUAUAAGUGUAUAGGACGGAGAAAUAUGUAUUUGUAUUUGUAUAUACAAUUUCUCUCGCUUUAUACAAACACAAUCACAAUUUAUACAUUUGUGUUUGUAUAAAAGUGAGAGAGGUGAGGGAGAGAAUUGAGGCCAGAAUGGCAAAAUGUUUGCUACGAAUUAGAAUUAAAUGAAACUAUAGCUAUAACAUUUAUUUUGAAUUAAUAGUUUGCUAUAAAGCACAAUUUUCCCAAAAAAAAAACCAAUAAAGGCAUGCAUAUAUACAUAACACUUAUAUUUUUAUAUAAAUAGAUCUUUUAUAAUGGUAUUUGGGCCAACUCACAUGCCUCUCUCAUUUUAUCCCAUCCCCUCCUCUUACAACAUUUUGUAGGAAAACAAAGGAAGAAUCUUGUUUUAAAUAUUGGGUUUUUGCAGAUGAUGAAUUAGUCCUGUGAUUAUGUUAAUCCUUGUUAUUGUUUAACUUUCUGUUAUGUUAUAAUAAUUAGCUGAAUUGAUUCACCAAUCUUAUUGUAGCUUUCCUCUGUCUGGAUAUACAAAAGGAAGCUAAAAGAGCAAAAACCAUGUUCCUUUGGGACUACUGCCUCAACUAAAGGUAUCAAAAUAACAUGUUGUUGCUGUGCUAGAUUUUGUUCUUCCUGAAAACUGAACUGCUCUCUGUAUUUUGACAUUUUGUCUGCAUUUCACUUUCCAUAACCGAAUCAUCGAAUUGGAUUUUGGUCAAAAUUGCAUUUUCAUGAUAAAAUGACAAAAUUAUUAUAGGUCAUACCAUCAAUUUGCACUAUCAUUGGUGUUAGAAUUUCCAAAACACCUUAUAAAUUUUUGUAAUCAGAUUUUAACUUGACCGAGUGCAAAUUGAUGCAGAUUUAGUAGUUUUCAUCUAGUCAAAAUUGUAAAGUUGGUGGACACUAUAAGAAUGCAUAUAGUUACAUUAAAUUAAAAAUCUAACAAUAAUGUAUUAUUUCAGAUUCUUCGGGAGCCAAUCUUUACUUAAUUGUUGAUGCCAAUGGUGGCCUCAAUCAGCAACGAUCAUCGGUAUGUAAUCUCAUGCUGAGUCAAAAUGCCACUGUAUAUUCCAAGUAAUUUAAAACUGCAAAUUUGUUAUAGUAAAAACAACAUGUGAUCUAUAGGUUUGGCUCAUGUCACAAGUUCAAACUCAGCCAGAGAAGUUAGUAUUAGUAUUUACUGGAAUAUGUGUCACAUCCUCACAUAUUCAUUAGAGCUGUCAAUAUCGGUCAGCAUUGCAUAAAUCAUAGUAGCUAUACCAACUUCCUCGCUAAGAUCAUAUAUGAUUUCUCUACCUAUAAUACGAACAUUGUAAUCUUCAUCAAUUAAGAGAGGUUCAGUCAAAACGAGAUUUUUUUUCACAAAUCUGUUUUUGUUUGGCUCUGUAAACAAAUUCAGCAUACCGAUCGUCUUCUUCAUCCAAAUCAACCUCUUUUCCAUCUUCUUUGUCGUGAACUUCUCAAAUCAAUUUGGAAAUCAAAUUGGUGGCGUUGAAAAGAAAAUUCAAAUACUUUUAAUAUAAUAGGUUAUCGGUCAUGUUAUUCUUUAUAUUGUAAGAGAUAUGAUCGUUUGAAUAUGAUUUAAUGGAAAAAGAAAAAGAAGUCACAUCAAUAUAUAGGCAAAAAUCUAUCCUAAUCAUGGCUAAAGUACAAUGUUCUGUUCCUUUUCAACUUCAUUUUUCUUUUUAAAUAAAUACCAAGUAAAGGUUUUCGACAUAGCAGUGGUGGCUCAAAUUAAUUAGUGGCCUAAAGCCAAAAAUAAAUCCUAGCUUUUAUUAUUAUUAUUAUUAUUAUUGAAAUCCAAAUUUAUUUCUUCUUUUUAAUGAAAAAGCUUUAUUUUUUCUAUGGUCUUAAACUUAUAAUAUAUCAAGAUAUUUUUUAAUCUUGUGAUUUUAAACAUGUCAUGUGGAUGUUAAAUUUAAAAAUUGACAAAAAAGAUUAAUGUUUCGAAACGAACUAAAACAAAGACAUAAUAUAAUUUAUUUAUUUUCUAAAGAAUACCUAAUUAGAGAAGCAGUAAGAAGGCAGAAGUAAUGCCGAUUGCAGUUGUUGGUUUUUGGGUAGACCGGGGGAGUACCGGUUUGUUAGUUAGGUCAGUAAUAGCUGAUAUAAAUUGCUAAGCAGGUGAUUAGACAUUUUUUUGGUAUUUCUUUAUCCAUUAAUGUGAAAUGAUCAUGUAGCUUAACCACCCUUAUUGCUUUUACUGCAGAUUUGCAAUGCAGUAGUCAUUGCUGCGCUAUUGAAUGCCACAUUACUUAUUCCUCGUCUGGAGUUUCACAAUGCCUGGAGGGAUUCGAGGCAAGUUUCCACAUCAGUAGUUACUAGUGUGUUAAUCCUACCAAGUAAUGGUUGAAAAUGUACACAUCUUUUAUCGCCUUUCCUAUCUGAUCUCAAGGUUCUAUACUUUCUGAAAUUACACAUUUUACGAUCUCAAGGACAUCCUUAUAUGAUGAAAGGAUGUGCCAGACGGAAGAAGUGCAUUGUUGUGUUGGAUUAAGAAAGGUUUCCUAUAUUGCUUUCUUAUUGAACUCUUCUUUCACAUUCUUUGCCUUUCUGUAUUUCUAACCAAGCACACCUAACUGCUAAAAUGAAAUAGGUGUAGGGUGAUUGAAGAAUAUUCCUUUCCAUUGACUAGUGUAGGUUCCGUCUCUACGUGCUUCAUUCUUGUGCAAGGUUUCUCAUGUUAAAUCACUAUUUCACGUUUGAAUAACACCAAUAAUCACAUCCAGUUGAACUUCUGUAUUCACAAAGGUUAUGUUUGUUGUUUCUGUUUUUGUCACAAAGCAGUGAAUUUGGUGAUAUUUAUGAUGAAGACCAUUUCAUGUCCACCCUUAAAGAUUAUAUAGAAGUGGUCAAAGAACUACCAACGGAACUGAUGGAGAGAUAUGAUUCUAAUAUCAGCAAUAUUCAGAAUUUGCGAGUUCAAGCUUGGGCACCUCCAAGAUAUUACCUGGAAGAGGUUUAUCCUGUCUUAUUUAAGCAGCGGUAUGCAAUUUUUUGUUUUUUCAAUUUUUAGUGGAUGGCAUUUCUUUCCUAAUAGUUAAGAGCUGGCGUUGACAUUAAUAUCACAUUAUUUUGUUACUUAUGCAGACCUAAUUUAUUUGUACUCACUGGUUAGUUUAUCAUGCAGGGUUGUUCGUAUUUCCCCCUUCGCUAAUAGAUUGUCAAUGCAUCUUCCAUCUCAUCUUCAGUUCCUGAGAUGCUUUUCCAAUUAUGAAGCUUUGAAGUUCUCCUUAGCCAUAUCAGAACUUGCAAAGAAGUUGGUCAAGCGCAUGAUUGAGAGGAGCUCUAACUAUGGUGGGAAGUAUAUUUCUGUCCACCUUCGCUUUGAGGAGGUACACUCUCUCUUCCUAGUAGUUCUACUUGCAUAGGAUUUUCUGGAGGUCCAGUGAAUCUGUUGAUCUUAAAUCUAAUGAUGAAAAAUCCAUCUUAUAUGUGAAGGACAUGGUAGCCUUUUCGUGUUGUAGUUAUGAUGGAGGACAGGUUGAAAAGUCAGAAAUGGAUGUAGUACGUGAGAAAGGAUGGGGAAAGAAGUUCAAACAGAAAUAUCGUGUUAUUGCACCUGGCCUCAACCGUAAAAAUGGAAAAUGUCCUAUGACCCCUGUAGAGGUUAGACUUUAUUUAGCUGUUUUCCUUUAAAUAAAACUUGGAUUUUCAUCUGGAGAAGAAAAUGAAUUUAUCAGCGUUAUACUACCUAAGUGACAUCCUGAUGUAUCUGAAUUUAUUCGUUGUAGGCUUGUAGCUACUCUUUUGUUUCAUAUAUUUUUCUUUGUCAGGAUAGGUUGGCAUGAUGCUUAGGGGUAUGGGAUUUGCCAAAGACACUCCUAUAUAUUUGGCUUCUGGGAAGAUUUACCAGGCAGAUAGAUAUCUAGCACCUCUGCGGAAGAUGUUUCCACUCCUACAAACCAAGGAGACUUUGGCAACCAAAGAUGAGCUUGCUCCAUUUGAGGUAUAUGUUGAUGACAAGCCAUUUCUUAAAGAAAUAGUGUGUUGUACAUCUAGACAUGAUUGAUCGCCUGUCAAUAAUACCAUCAAAUGGACUAGAUAUUGGACCAACUGAGAAAUGGAUGUUGUCCUCUGUCUAUUUUAGCUUGAACUGAACCUAAGUUUCUCGGAUAAGUAUUUUUUAUUUUUUUGUUUUACAGGGUUAUUCAUCAAGACUAGCUGCUGUGGACUACCUAGUAUGCUUGUUUAGUGAGGUAUUUGUAACCACUCAAGGGGGAAACUUCCCUCAUUUUUUGAUCGGUCAUAGAAGGUACCUUUUCAAUGGACAUGCCAAGACUAUCAAACCUGAUAAAAUCAAGCUUGUAACUUUAUUGCAGAACACAAGUACAAGGUGAGAUCCUUUUCUUAUAGCUCUCGUCUAUGUUCUUCUCUUUCUGCUUCUCAUAUAACUGAAAACAAAUUCGAGCUUUCUUUGCCUGUAAGCAUUAUACUUCUAUAGGUAGAAUUUGAUGUGAUUUCAUGAAAGCCUCACUUCUUGAUCUCAAAGGUAGCACUAUAUGUAUUUGAGUCAACUUUUUUGCUCAUGAAUCAUGAUAUUAUCUAGUCGUGAAUAAUCUAACUAACCUGCAUGCAAAAAGUAAAUAUCAAAAGAAAUGGAAUGAACCUGCCCCUAAAAUUUAUCAUUUCAGAAUGUUUCCGAGGCUGAAUCUACCUUAAUUUUGGAACACGGCUGUUAGAAUAGGAGUAGGAACAAGAAUAGUACAUAGAAUCCUACUUGGAAAAGGAUUGUACUAUAGUGUAUGUGUUUGUGUAAUAAUGUAGAUACAAAAAUUCAACAGUACUCUUCUCCAAUAUUUCUCACAUGGUAUCAGAGUGUCUACUAUCCUGUUAGAGAAUCAAAGAAUCAAUGCCUCUUUGUUUUUUCUCAAUUGUUUUUUGUUUUCCUUAAACUGCUAAACAGCUGGAUUGAUUUCAAGGAUCAAAUGGGAUCAAUGCUGGCUGAAAGUGAUAGGAAGGGCAUAAUGGUACCUAGAGCUAAGAAGUCCACCAGAAAAGGUUCUAUCUAUUCGAAUCCUUUGCCUGAAUGCAGGUGCCUUUGGGAGUCAAAAAGAACUACCAACCGUAGUAAUUCAUACCUCAUGGUAGAUCACUGAGAUUGUUCGAUAGUUCUAAGUUUCUCUGAUUUGAGCAAGCCGAAGUUGAUCAAUUAAGUUGGGAUCCUUUUGCAAACACCAGACUUUAUGUGUCAAUGGGGAGUGGUAGAAUAGAUCCAUAGUUGCAAGUCCAACGUUGAUUACAGGAAUCGAAGAUCAUCGUUAAAGCAUCUCGAGAUUUGCCUUAGCCGGCGAGGCAGGACAUUUGAUCUUAUAUGUAGUUGAUAUCAGUACCCUUUGUAGUACCUAAACUUCCACUUACUAUAUAGUAGUAGAAAUUUUUUUGUUCUUUCUCUUUUCUUCUUAGGAUUUGUUACUGCCUUUACAUUUCUUCUGGAAAUUUGUGCUCGUCUAGUCUACCAGUUGUAAUGCUACAAGAUAUUUACUGAUUAAAUUUCAAGAUUUAUUGUGCCAGGUGUUUCUACCUUAGCAAGUAUCUUAAGGUUUUUUGUAGCUUUAUAUAGUAUUUGGACUGAGAUGAGCUUAAGUAGAGCGACAGGAACAGUAAAUUCUAAAGUUUAAGAAAUGAAUAAUGUAAAACGUACAGUUUACGGCCUGUGUAGUUCGAUGCAAAAUACAAGCAAGUACAAAGUAUACUGAAGUUGAAAUGAGAAUAAUCAGUCAUUCUGCCUUGAACCAUUGCACAUAAGUUUCCUGGAUACUGAUAAGUUCGAUAUGAAAUGACCAGGACUUGAGACUCAAAAUUUAAAAUGAAAAUAACUACGGCUACUUUUUGGUUUCCAUUUUCCACAUAUUUAAACAUUAAUUUAAAUAAGAUGAAUGAAUCUAUAUCCUAAACUCGUUAUUGAUGACUUACAAGUUACAAUCAACAACUCCUUCUGUCCUAAUUUAAGCGCUAAGAAAUAAAGGGAGUUUUUUGAAUCUCAAAUAUAAUGUCCACACUAACAUGAGUUGAAACAAAAAAAAUUGCUUCUACCCUGUCAUAGCAUCGGCCUAAUUUUUUUUUGGGUUUUCUCAUCACUUGAUAACAUUUUAACAGUGAAAAUUAUUGAGAAUUUGUCAUGGCAUUUGUUCGAAAAUACUAAAAAUAAAAUUCGCAAACAAAAAAAAAAUUGACUUUACAAAAUUCUAUUUGUUCAAACCAUUUUUGUGAAAGGGUUGACCUUUUUUCCUAAAGUAAAUUUAGCUCAAACAAAUGCUUUAACUGAGUCACUUGACAUAAACCAUGCAGAUUCCAAAGAACUAAUUAGAUUUGGCUAGGCCAGAUGGAUGAUAUGAGGCUUACCUAAUUUGUUUUCCUCAGCUGUGGGUAUUUACAUAAACAACAAGAAAAUACAAAUUCGAGAUUCACGUGCAAUAAUUUGCAUUAGGCUCUUCAAAAUGUUUGCAUGACGAUUAUUUAAACUAGGUUAGUAAAUAGGGUAAGCUCAGGAAAACAAUGGAUUGUCUAAAGAAAGACACUAUAACGUGUAUUGUAAAGGGAACCAAAACAGAAAACAUCCUCAGUGUUCCUGGUUUUCUUCAUACGCGCUAUAACAUUGUCCAGGAUGAAUCAAGGUGUCAUCAUUGAACCAGAAAAACAGACUGGCAAGAAGAGGCCACCAAAGCAGCAGUAUAAUACCUCACCAUUAAAGAAACCACCUGGAAAGGAACAAAAGAGCCACAAUGAACAUUGAACGAAGAAAAAAAAAAGCAAAAGAUAAGAAUUUUUUUGGACCAGAUAAAGGGGACAAUUUCCAGAGGAUCUGGUAGAUAGAAAAAAACAGUGCUCACUUUGAGGAAGCAAAAAGAGCAUCAGCCUUAAACCCCGCAAUACUACACAGCCAUAUAAUACAUGUUCUACAAAAGCUUCAGAUUGUUAACAUAGUUCAAACAAACAAACAAUACCUCAAUUCAGUAAUACGAGCAAAUCACAUAACAAGAGCAGAGAUUAGGUCUUUAUUUCGGCAGUCUAUGCAAGUGUUCAUGAAAAAGAUUGGGCCUCUUCUAUGAUUGAAUUCUCAAUAUCCCAACCAUUAAGAUCUAGCCAAUAGCUAGUAUGAAAACAUUUCUUAGUAAAUUAUAAAAAAAAAAUCACUAAGUAAAUAAAUCUUGAUCACCACCAGAAGCAAGACCAAUUCCCCCACCACCACCACAUACACAAACUAGGGAAACUUUAAUACUGCACAGCAACAGCACGUUGGCUGAAAAUACAAUAAUUAAGUAUAAAAUUAACCUGGCACAUAUUGUAUGCAAGUAUGUCCUAUUUCAUUGAGGGAUUUAUUAGUUCAAUAAAGGUUAAGGUUUUUAAUACAAUGGGGCUUCACAAAAUGUAAUAAAUCAGAUGCAAAUCUUGUUUAGCACACAAAACCAAGAAAAAAUCAGGAAGUAGAACCUGACUCAUCAAAGAACCUUGAGAGACUGGUGCAAUAGCCUUUCAACAUAUAAUACAAGGUUACAUCAUUCUAAUGUUUCAUCAUUUCAAAAACACUAAAUAAUAAAUCAUCUAACUUUCUCAAUAAUCACCACAUACUAAACAUGGCACAUUCACAACAAUCCUCACUGAACACUCCCCAAACCUUCAUUACUUUCCCCUUUUUUAGCCCUUAUCUGCCAAAAAUAGACAUCUUGAACCUGAUCCCGUUUGGUGAUUAAAUACUGGAAAACUAAUUCUGGUAUUGCGGGAUAGCAAAGAGAAGGCCAGUAAGUAUUCUAAUUUCUAUAAGCCUGUCUGCACCAGAAACCUUCUUGUCCUCAGUUCAGGCAGCACUACAACAGCUAUGGAUUAGCCAUUAACCUGACUGUUACUUUUCCACAAGCUAUCAUUCUUUACAAAUCUUCAUAAUACACCAAAAGUUAGCGAAAAGGUCUAUUUACCUACUCAGUAUGCUCACAGACACCUGUACUGGUUACUUAUCCAUACCCACAGUUCAUGUAACAUUGGAAUGUGAGAGGAUCCUACACAACGUCAAACUAUUUUUUUUUUAUUUGCACCGGGUGUCCGAGUCUCUUUGAGCCCCGACUAAUCCCGGGGGUGCACAGGCCCUCGGCAAGGAGUUUCCCGCAAGUGCACCACGGUUAAUUCAGGUUUUACCCAGUCCGAUGGCCCUCAGAAAUUGUUUUGCACCCCAAGUGGGGUUUUCGAACUUGAGACCUUGAAAGGGAGCAAACCCCAAGGCUCAAGUCAAUUGCCAGCAGGCCAACCCCUGAGGGUUACACAACGUCAAACUAUUAUGCCAACUCAGCCCCGAGACUCACUCAAGAUUGGAAAAGGGGACAACCUGCAAUGCUGCCUCAGUAUGGUAAAAUCAUGAACUAUCCAUCUAGAUAUUCAGUCUUAUAAAAUGAGUGUUUGAAACAUGAUCAGUCUCUUUUUAUACUCUCCGUGCCUCUCUGCCCCACAAGGUAGGGGGUAAGGUCCGCGUACACACUACCUCCCCAGACUCCACUUGUGGGAUUAUCCGCGUACACACUACCUCCCCAGACUCCACUUGUGGGAUUAUACAGGGUAUGUUGUUGUUGCCUAUCUCUGUGAUCCACUACUUUUAACUAAAGUGUACUGACUUUCCAAUUCAUUAGUCCUUCUAUCCCAUGAUAUCUGAUUGUCUCUGCUUCAGACAAAC
rnacentral:lncRNA from 1 species